rnacentral:lncRNA from 1 species
UGGAAUUCUACAGUAUUUUCCUGGCUUCUUUCGCUGAGUCUAAUGUCCUCAAGGUCCACUCAUAUUGUAGCCUGAGGAGUUAGAAGUUUCUUCCUUUUUAAGGCUGAGUAAUAUUACAUCUUGGUGGGAUGAUGCCAUGGAGACAGUUGGCAAUGAAGCCCUCACGGACGCUGAAGACCCUGACCCCUUUGGUCCCCUCCAGGAAGAUGGUGAUGUACAAGAGCCAUGCAGGAUUCUACUCAGAGGGACAGGUCUUAGGGGCCUGAACUGGCCAGCCAUUCUGGGACUUGAGAUCAGGUGGGUUGUUCUUGCUUUUUUCCCUCCCAGGUGGAGAAGCUGCCGUGUCCCUACACGUCACAGGCAUGAGGCCUGACAGGUCACGGUCCAGGGCUGGUGCCAAACUUGACCUGCAGGGAAAUGCCUGGGCUAAGCCCUUGGGAGCUCCUGAAGGCUCCUGGGCUGGGAGCCUUCCCUUUUCAAGUUUGUUACUUUUCCAUCCGGCUGUGGACUUGUGCAGUGCUUGGGGGAGAAGGAGAACAGAACAGCACCCUGAGGUUGAGACUCCCAAAGAAUCUCUGUGCUUUUGCAAGUGACUAUCAUAGUUUCCAAAGAGGAAGAAAAACUACAAAUUCAGGCCAGAGCUUGCAAACGGGUGGCUGUUGGGCCCGACAGGGCCUGCUGCUGUGUGUGUGAUGGGAUGGGACUUCUCACUGUUUUAAACAGCUUGAAUUAGUAGCCAACAUUUCAAAAUUAGGUAAUCCAUAUUUUUUGAAGAGAACAUGUGUCACUUUUUAAAAGAAUGAUUAUUUCCAUCUGGGAGCAGGUGGGUCUGCAUUACCACCUGACAGUGAUGAGUGGAGCCCAGUAGAGGCCACACCCCAUCCCUCCUUAGUGAAAACCUGAGUUGUCCAAUUUGCCGCACUCCUUACUACUCCAUAGUGCGUUGUGCUGGCAUUUAACUUAUUCAUUUAUGUUAUGAAUGUGACCUCUAAUAUAGAGCUUCUUAUCAAGUCACAUAAUUUUCAGAGCUCAAAGAGCCUUUAGUGACCUUCUAGCCCAAGGGUCAGUAAUCUGCAGCCUGAGGUCCAAUCCGGCCCCCCACUUGUUUUGGUCAAUAAAGUUUUAUUGGAACAUCACCAGGCGCAUUCUUUUAGGUAUUGUCUGUGGCUGCUUUUCUGCCAAUAGCAGAGUUGAAAAGCCUAGUGUGUUCGCUGUCUUCCCCUUUACAAAAGAACCUGCUCUGGUUCAGCCAUCCAAUCUCCUUUUUUGUUUGUUAUUGAUGAGCAGAGACCCUGAGAGGAAGGGAGGAUGUCGCCAAGGUCAUCUGGGUGCCCAGGUUGCUGCACUCAGUGCAGGGACUGGUCAGCACCUGCUGUCUCGCCUGACUAGUAGCCCUGGCCUCCAGAGCUGCCCCAAGGAGAGGAGCCCCAGCCUGGUCCCUGUCCAAGCAGCGGGUCCAGACCCCUGGCUCCCAUCACCACUGACAGUGGGUUCUACACGCCCUGCCCAGGCCCAGGCUGACCCACAAGGCCUGACAUCAGUGACAACCCAUCAAUCGUGCUGUCGGGGCGGCCUGCAAGGCCUGUCUGGAAUUCUGACCCGACCAGGAUCAAAGUCUAGCCAUGCAGAGGCCUGGGUUGGGGUUGGAGAGGAGGAGGGCUGGCUUGGCUCUGCCUGUGGCUUGACCUGGCACCUCAUGGUACAAGGUGUGACUCAGGGCCCAGGGGACCGGGAGCAGUGUAAGAGCUCCACUCUGCAGCUCUGUCACUCGGAAUGUCAUCCCCGAGCCUCAGUUUCACAAGAGUGAGAAGGGAUUGCAGUACCCAUCUCCCAGGGGGCUGGGGGUGCAUAAGCAGCUCAGAGGUGUAAAGCUGGAUAGAAUGACAUGAUCUGGGGUUGGCUUUGAACCCGCACAGGGUAAGUGAGUGUGGCAGGUGGCCGAGGAGGGGCCACAGAUGCACAGGGGUCAGUUGCUAUCUCAGGUGACGGAGGCCUUGGCUCUGCCUACUCUUUUCUCUACUUUUGUGGAUGCUUGAAAUUUCCCAUAAUAGCUAAAUUUGAAAAAUCCCACAAUUUUGUAGAAAUCUAUGGGACAGUUUUUUUUGUUUUGUUUUUCCUGGUUUGCUUUUCCAUUUUGGAAGAAGCUGUGUCUGAUUUCAAACACAGCGCCCCACACGGUGCUGGGCCCUAAAGCAUAUGUUUAGCUUGGGGAAGAAAAUGGAAUGGGCUGCAGCGUGUGUGUGUGUGUGUGUGUGUGUGUGAGAGAGAGAGAGAGAGAGAGAGCACAUUCCCCCCAUUUUUAGUUGGUGCAUUAAGUCGUACAUACUGAUGGGAUUUAUUGUUACAUAUUCACAGAUGCACACAAUACACAAUAUAACAGUACAGUUUGGCCAAUGUCACUCCCUAGCACUCCCUUCCUCCCUCCCUACCUUCCACCCCUUGGUCCCUUUCCUCUACUGAUCUCCCUGAAUUUCUUUCUUUCUUUCCUUUUUUUUUUAUACCCAGGAUUGACUCAGGGCCACUGGACCUCUGAGCCGCAUCCCCAGCCCUAUUUUGUAUUGUAUUUAGAGACAGGGUCUCACUGAGUGGCUUAACGCCUUGCUUUUUUUGCUGAGGCUGGCUUUGAACUUGUGAUCCUCCUGUCUCAGCCUCCUGAGUGGGAGCCACUGGGAUUAUAGGUGUGUGCCACCACACCCAGCUCCCUUUGAUUUUCAUGAGAUCCACCUCCCACCUUUCUUUUCCCUUUUCCUCUCUAGUUUCCAUAUAUGAAAGAAAACAUAGUACCCUUGACCUUCUGAGUUUGGUUGAUUUCACUUAACAUGAACACAUUUUUCUUGAGGACCUAUUAUGUGCUCAACCGUGUGUGCCAGAGUAUGAAAUCAAAGAACUUGCUUAUCCAAGGUCACCUUCUCAUAUUCCCUUUCAUAUUGUCCUCCCUAAGCCUCCUCUGACUGUCCCUUUAUGAGGUCAGAGGUAGAGGGGCUCAUCCUCGAUCCUUGGCCACCUUCCUGGGCCAGGUUCUUCAAGGCCACACUUGAGAAUUCAUUAUUCUUCCAUGGUGUCACUGGCUGUGCCCACCCCUCCAGCUAAGUCCAGUCCUCUUGUAUUUAAGCUUGACCUCUUUGUCUUGUGACCCCUUUCUGUCACUUGUUGUAGGUACCUCUGAUAUAGGUUGUCAGCCUUAGUAAAUAAAAACACAUGAUAUCCAGUUAAACUUAAAAUUCAAAUAACAAGUUAUUUUUUAGUAGAAGUAUAUCCCAUGUCGUACUAUGGUACAUAUUUAAAUAGUAUUCAACAUUUAUCUGAAAUUCAAAUCAAACAAGAUGUUGUAUAUUAUAUGUGGCCACUUAUCCAAGGGACAUCUAUUAUUCAUGCCCGCAUGCAUUCGUUCAUAUGAACACCCACCAGAUGCCUGGCCCUCGGUGGGGACUCUGAACUACCUUAGUUCCCGCCUUUAAGUACCUUCCUGAACUGUCAAGGAAAUUAAAAAUUGCCUUGUGUUUUAUCAAAAGAUUCAAGCAGAGUUUAUCAGGAGCAGACAAUAAACAUAGCCCAGGGAGGAAGGGGCCAUUGGAGGAGACGGGGUUCUAGGUGGUGCCAUAGUCUGUGGCCACGCCGUGCCUAGUGAGGUGUGUGGCAAUUCCAGAUCAUUUCCCAUGCUUCACAUUCAAGUCAUGGCUUGAGAUUAACUAGAGUUCCUGAAAUCAAAACUCCAGCAGCUUUUCUUAGUCACUCACAGAUUUACCCAGUAUCUAUGGAAAGCCACCAUGUCUGGGGUACUGAGGCUACAGACGAGGUUCCUGUCCUCAAGGCGUGGAUGGGGAGAGACAAGCAUAUAGACGAGUGUUACGCAGGAAAUAAAACAAGGCAUUGCGGUGGAGAGACAGGGGUGCUGGUGAGCGUUAGAUUCUGGGGUGGUAGGUCCAUAACAAUAUCAACCACUAAAUGCAUGGAUUGCACCUACUGUAUACUGGGCAGUGAGUUAAAUGCUUCUUAUAUACCAACUUGUAAUUCUCACACCAACCUGAACAGUUUGGCACCAUUAUGAUGAUGGAUGAACAGGCUGAAAUGCAGAGAAGUGACAUUAUUUGCCCUCUAUGCCUCAGUUUCCUCAUCUUUAAAAGGGGGAUAUUAGACCACCGUGAGGAUGGAAGCAGUUUGUAAACUAUGAAGAGUCUCGUGCAUUGUUGUUAUCUAGAAGCGACUUCUCUGCCUUGGCACCAACCACAUCUUACCUUGGCUAACGACUGGGGGAGCAGUUGGGAACCUUCCAUAUUGGACCAUGAACUCCCCAAGGUGAGGUUCACACUGCUUACCUGUCAGUCUCUCGGAGUCUGGAUGAACCCCAGGAAUGUUGCAGCAGUUCAGUUAACACUGUCUCCUUUCUCAACUUUCAAUCACAGAGAAUUUCUUCCCCAAGGAAACACCUCUAGGAACUUAUCAAGCUAUCUUUAUUAUUGGACCUGUUGUCUCCACCCCUGUCUUAGUCUGUUUUCUGUUGCUAAUGAUACAAUACCACAGAUUGGUAUGCCUUACAGAAAAGAGGUCUAUUUGGCCUCAGAGAUCUGAUCCAAGGUCUAAGGACCGUUUAGGGAGGGACUUGUUGCUGGCAGAAUCCUGAGGUGGUGCACAUGACAAGGCAAGAGACAGGGAUCAGGUGAGAGGCUUAGCCAAACUGGCCAUUGAAGUACCCAUGACUGAGAUAACUCACUAACCCAUUAAUCCUUUAAUCUAUUUAUCAUAUUGAUUAAUCCAUUCACGAGAGCAUAUUCUAAUUACCUCUUCAAGGUCCCACUUCAUCUCAUCUCUUAAUAUCUCAUAAUGGGGACCAAAUUUCAACAUGAGUUUUGGAGGGGACAUACCAUAAGGAGACCAUUGCAACCUCCAUGUCCUAAAUGGAAGUCAGACUCACUUAGUACCUAAGGCUUGGGAUGCUCUUGACCCUGUUCCCAUCCUUUUAGACCUGUCCAUCAGCCCAAGGCCAGGCAGUUCUGGGGGCACACUUGGGCAUUAGUGAACUUUGACUUUUUUUGUUGCUCUUCUGGCAACACUGAGGGCUACCACACUCAAAACCUGAUACUUACAAAAUACAGAACAAUUAUGAAUCAUAUAUAAAAACUCUUCUUUUAGACUAAGGUCUUAUCUUUCUUUGUGCCAUGAUAUCUGGGUUAGUCUGUGGAAGUCUCAGAAUCUCUUCUUAGAGAGAUGGUCUUACAUGUUUUAAAUCAGAUUUUAAAGGGAAUGGAUAACUGUAUUUUAACAUAACACCAGUAUCAAAACCAAAUCUCUGAUAUAGUAAUAUAUGAGCCUUAAAAUUAAUGCAUGAAACAAGAUUUAGAAGCAGAGUUAAGAACAACUAAAGUUUGAAGUAGGACAGAAGAGCAAAUUAGUGAACUAUAAGAUAAAUAUGAAGAAAUAUCCAGAAUGCUACUCAAGAGGGCUGAGGUAUAUACCCCAGUGGUAGAGCACUUGAUAGCAUGCACAAGGCCCUGUGUUCCAUCUUUAGCUCUGAGAGAGAGAAAGCAAGGGGGAGUGAGGGAACAUAAAAGGAGAUUAAGGGGCCUUGAAGAUAGAAUAAGUUCUGACAGGCAUAUAUAAGGAAUUUUAGCAGGAAAGAACAAAGGAAAUUGGACAGCGCCAUUAUUCAAAGAAUGUUUAUCCUAGUGAAUGAAAGACAUAAAUCUUCAGAUCCAAGAUAUGCAACUAUCGCCAAGCAGGAUAAAUAUAAGCGAAUUCAGGUUAUCAUACAACUGCAGAACAUAAAAGUUGAAGAAAAUAUUGUAAGCAAUUGAAAAGCUCUUAAUAAAUGGAAAGAGAAGGAUUAUCAGCAAAGACUUCUCAGCAGCCACAAUAGAAGAUAAAAGUAAUGAUCUAUCUGCUAAGAAAACAGUUGCUGAUGACCUAGAAUUCUAUACCCAGUGAAACUAUUACUCAAGAAUGAGGGAUAAAAUAUAUGCUUUCAAAUAAGAGAAAAACUUCUUAUCAUCAACUGAGAAGCUGAAAUAACUACUAAUGCAUGUACUUUAGGAAGAAAGUCAUCAAAUCCCAGAUGAAGAAGCAAAAUAUGGUUAAAAAUAAUGAAAAGAAGUUGGUAUAUAUAUAAAUACAUGUAAAUUCACUAGUUGUAUAAAACAACAGCAAUGAGUGUUUUUGAAGAUAUGAACUAUGUAGAAAUAAGUGCUGUCACAGGAAAAUCUAAAUAAGAGCUCUAAGUUUUAUAUUACUAGAGAGGAAGCAUAGAUGUGGAUUUGUAUGGAUUAAACUCAAUGAUCCACAAUUAACUUGAAGUCAAAGAAACAUAUUAAAAUUUCCAGUAUAGACACUGAUAUAACAGGACCACAAUGUAGCUUCUGACCCCCCAGAAAGUCAAAAGGGGGGGGGGGAAGGAAACUUAGCUAACUGGGUAUAAAGCACAAAAGGUUAAAGUGUGAUAAACAUUGCCGAAAUAAGAUGUUAGGAAAGAUCCCAAUAGGUCAAUAGUCACAGGACAUCUAAACAUGUCAGUCAUGUCAAUAAAAGCACUGUUUUAUUGGAUUAAAAGCAAAAAUAAAAAUAGUCACCCGCUAUACAUUGUUUAUCAAAGAAACAGCUUAGACACUAAGGGCACAGGAAGAUUUGAAGUACAAGCAUGAAAAAGUAGAAGCCAGGAAAAUAUGGAGAGUCAGCUUGGAUUGCUUUAUUAUUUUCAGGCAGAACGACUUUUAGGCAGAGAGCACCAUCAGAAAUAAAGAGCCUUACACCAUGAUGUUAAAAGAUGUAAUUCCCAGGGGAGCUAGAAUCGUUUUUAAACUUGUGUGCACUUAACAUAUCCCCAAGCCCACCAUUACAGGGGAAGAUUUUAACAUCUCUCUCUUUAGUCGUUGAGAGAUGAAACAAACACAAAAAAGUAAGGAAGAUAAGCCCAAUUAACAGCCAAGAUCUAAUGGACGUGCAUAGAACCUACAAUUAGAGACGACACAUCCUCUUCAAGCAUUUACAAAAAAAAAAUAAUAAUAAUCACAUCUCCGAGCCACUGAGCGAGCCUCCCCAGUUACCAAGAGACUGUGGCAAGAAGGGAGAGCAGAGGACACGGGGAACUUGGCAACCUGACAGUAGCUGCCAUCCCUUUAACCCCCAACGCUGAGUUGUUUGCUUCAGGACAGAAGCCGCUGCUCAUAGCUGACAUCCUGGAAUGUGACCCAGGCCUUGGGCCCUUCUGAGGCCCCUCAGACAGGCUGGUGGGUGACUUUAUCUCCCCUGGACCAGGCAGCCAAUAGAGAACAGAGAGACCAGGGACCCUCCCCAGGGAUGUCAAUCUUCCUCUCCCUGACAGGCUCAGGGUGGGGGGACCAAGAGAGUCCUGCUGGGCAGGACAGCUCGGCCACCCAACCUGAGCCUCAGUGCUCUGACAGGUAAAUGACCCCUCCAGGGGCCCCCAGCAGCACGAAGAGGACCACGAGAGCCAUGGGACCUAGAGCCUGGGAGCAGGGGGUGCCGAUGACACCCGGGGCCCAAAAUCUGUUAUUUGUUCACUUUCAAAAGAUUCUAAUUUAUUUUUUUAGAGCAUGUUAAGGUUCAUAGUAAAAUUGAGAGGAGGGUACAGAGAUUUCCCAUUCCGCCCCCAACCCUACACCUGUGCUGUCUUUCUACCGCCCACAUCCAAAUGGGACAUCUGUUACAAUCUUGGACCUGCCCUGCCCUGUCCCCAUCCCCCAUAGUUCACACUGGAGUUGUUCAUUCCACGGGUCAUAUGGGAAGAGUGUGCUGAGUUUUGUAAGAACCAUCAAACGGUCUUCCCAAGAGAGCGUGCCAUCUUGGCUUCCCACCCACAAUGAGGAGAGUUCCUGUUGCUCCACAUCCUCGUCAGCACUUGUGUUGUCCAAUCUAAGAAUGUGGCCAUCUGCCACCGUGGAACUGCUCUGGUGCUGGAUACCCUUAACUGUCCACGCCCCACGUGAUGGAGAACAAGGACUUGGGGCUACUUCCCACAACUUCCCCCUCUUUCAGCAGGAAGCAGCUUGGAGAUGUUGUCACCCAUUUUCCCAUUUCAAUGUAGAAAUUGACAGUGGGGAAAUGUAACAGUGUUGCCGAAAGUUCAGUCCUUGUCCCGGAUGCCAAUCCAAUAACAAGGACACUGUUUGGAGAAAAAAAAAAAGAAAGAAAGUUUAUUACUUUGCUAGCAAAGAAGAAACACAGGGAACUCCUGAUCUGUGAUGCUGCCCCUCGUCAGGAACAGGGGGCUUUUAAAGAGGUGACUACAUUCCACGUGUUCUCUAUGGGAGCUGAAAUUCCCUUGUCAAUUUGGGAGAUAGUCAUUUCUGAGAGCUUCCUGUACCAUCCCCAAAGUCUGGGUGACCUCAUUCCUAUGGUGGGUGGGUCCUCAGGGACAGACCACUCUGCCUAGGAUGGGGAAGAAAAGUAAUCCUGUUUCCCCUGAGAUUAGGGAGGGGCCAGGAGAGAGGGAGAGGAAAGAAACAUGAGUUCAUUUUAAAAAUCAGUCACAGUGGCCGAGCAGCAAGGGCUAUAUUCACAGCAGAGCACCGUCACAUUCCCCACAGUCAAUUGCUACAUUCCAUGUCCAUGGAUUACCUUUCUUCCCCAUCCUAGGCACAGUUAUCUGUCCCCAGAACCCACCCACCAAAGGAACGAAGUCACCCAGACUUUGGAUGGUACCAGCAGAUCUCAGAAAUGACUAUCUCCCAAAGUAACAAGCAAAUUACAACUGCAACCAAGAACAGGUGGAAUGCAGCCUCUGAGUCACCUUGAUAAGAGCCCCCUGUCCCUGCUGAUGGGCAGAAUCACAGCCUCUGGGACGGGAGCCCCCUGUGACUUUCCUUUGCUAGCAAAGCAAUAAAAGAGUGAUUUCAACGAAAUUCCUGAUUCUCACCUCUCGGAAGGCAGAGAAUCCCCUGCCAGUCAACAUCAGGGUUCUGUAGGCUCCCCCCCCCCCCUUGACUGGAGGCUCUCAGUCUUCAGAGAACAUCAGAAUCACCUGCGGAGAAGUCAAACAGAUUGCUGGGGGCCACCCCAGAGAACAGGCUGCAGAGUCUGCCUGUCCCCUGGUUGUAACGCUGUUGCUCAGGACGGUGCUUCUCUGAGAUCCUCUGCACCAGAGAUGCGGAUGAACAGUGCCUCUCCCUGGAGACUUCUCCAGGUAGGUUGAAUCCCAUCACCUGGUGCACGUCCUUGGAAUCAGCCUCUCACCCCACAAGGUUGAAACAACCUAUUUCAACGUCAACCUGCCCCAUCUAGGAGUCGAGGGCAGUCCUCAUCCCGUGAGAGUGUCCCAGCCCACACUCGAAUGCUAGAUUAGGGGUGUGCUUCAUCCACUUCCCGUGACUCAGAGGCAGGUGUCGAAUCAUGUCCAGCUGCCACAGCCAGGGUCCACCUCUGAUGGUGAUGAUGGCAGGGGCCACCUGAGCCCCUCGAGACUGAUUUGGGCAACUGAGUUUCGAGGAUCCUCUUGCAGAAGUUUAGUCUGAGAACGGGGUGGGGGGGUGUGAAUGACUGGGAGCAAGACUUGGCCCCUGAGCUUCGCUGGCCACGGAGAGUUGCCACUGGGAAGCUUUGUAGAGGUCACGUUCAGUAUUCCAACUCAAUCCCAAGGAGGUUUAAUUUCUCAUUUCUGUAAAAAUGGGAUCUCCGUGGGGACACGGAAUGUCAACAUACGUCAUCCCUAUGGCAUGCUUUGAAGAGCACUCAAAUAUCUACUUGUUUCAAAUUUCUCCCGUUCCAUAUUCACUCCGUUGGGCUUAUCUUGGGGAGUUGGUUGGGGAGAUUCGCAGGAGCUGUGGGUGCAGGACACUUCCAGUUUCCCUAGUCUGGUUGGAUGCUUACACAGGUUAGAAGCUUCUCCAGGACUGCGUCUCAUUUGCCCUUACAUGCUUAAGGUUUAGCAUGAUCCUAGCACAUAAUAGCUGUUCAACAAAUGCUUGUUGAAUGGAUUAAUGGAUUCUUGGGCACUGACAGCAGGAACGUGGCAUGAAGCUGACCUGGGAGUGCUGUAGAUCUGUUUGUCACUCUGUAAGGAAAGGCAAGUCAUUUUCCCUCCAGGUCUCCACUCCAGGAGACUGCACAUGAAGGGUCUCGUCUCUCCUCUCCUCUGCCUCUUUCUACCAAUGUUCUAGUUUCCUUGUUUAUUUCAUUUCCAAAUACCCAGCCUCCUUUACCCAAGGCCUUUGCCUGUGAGAUUCCUGCUGUUGGUAUGGGUUCCAUCCCGUUUCCAUCAAGAAUAUUUUAGCUUCUUUUAAGUCCUCUUGGUCAUCUCAGAGGCAACCUGUGGAGAGACCUCCUAAACGAAAAUUAUUCCUUGUCUGAAUAAUUAUCGAACGGUGCAGGGUGCAUCUUUUCCAGCUUCCUUUCUCGUCCUCGUUUCCCCGUCGUCUGUGAGUUCCUGGAGAGCGGGGACAGGGCGAAUCACCGACACCUAGAGCCACACUAGGUGCUCAGUAAAUAACUCAUUGGCUCCCCCGGGGGGUUGGAGCUGAGGACGUGUACUUCCGCAGAUGGCCAGCAGGUGUCGCCACAGACCGGGAAGAGGCGAACGGAGGCCUCACCUGGCGGCAGACUCACCUGGCGGCAGCUGCACCCAUCGCCCCGCCCCCCUCGGAAGCCAAGAGCCCCGGCGCUGGCGUCACCUGUGCAAUUGGGAAGGCAGCGCCCGGAGCCACGGGAGCGCAGAUGAAAGCCGGGCGGCGGGUGUGGCCGCCUGCAGCGCCAGGUGGGGAGCCUGAGCCCUGCCCCCAGGGCUGCGCGGAAUCAGUUUUGGCGCGGGAAGUGGCCUCCAGGAACCACGCUGGGGCCUUGGUCUGCAAGCCCCUUCUCUCUGGGGCCCUGAGUUCUUGGUAUCCAUUAACCCCUCUGGGAAGCUUUUAUGUGGGCCCAGAGUAAUAGUAACUUUCACUCAUUGAACAGUUUAUGAUAUGCAUUUAGUAUUUGAGCCUCGUGGUAACUCAUUGAGGUUUUCUUACCUCUUUUUAACAGAAGCAUGGAGAGAGGAUCAGAGAGGGGAGGUCAUAUACUCAGGAUCACACAGCACCCAGCUAGCAAGUUACAGAGUGGGGACCUGAACCCGGGACUGCCUCCAGAAGCUGAGCGCAUAGCCUGUGUGCCCUGCUGCUUGAUCACAAAGUUCUGACCUUAAAGGUCAUUUCUAAUUUUCCUUUUCUUUCUAAAAAAUGUUAGUAGAAUACAUGUAUCACAGAGAUGAUUACCUUAGCAUUUUAGAGGUUCAUGGUGUUCAGCUCGUUUGUUGUUGUGCGACCCUCUGAGCCAUCUACAAAAGGAAACCCUGUAUCCAUUCUCCCCUUCCCCAGCCCCUAGCAACCACUAAAUCUACUUCCAUUCUCCAUGGAUCUGCCUAUUCUGAAUACUUAAGUUUUGGCUUACUAGCUUCAUUCUGUCCCAGGCUGUCACAUCCUAGGAGGCCAGAAAAUUGGUUCCUCCAAUUUGGGGCCUGUUGGAAUCACCUGGAAAUCUUGUGAGGGGGUGAUGCUGAUACCUGGCUCCCCCCACCCCAGGGAGUGUGAUUUAAUCAGCCUGUGAUCGGACCAGGGUUUUAAGACUUUUAGAAACUUCCCAGUUUAUUUCUAAUGCACAGCAACAACUAGGAGCCACCACCUUAGAGUCCUGUGGCUCACAGAGCUUUUUGUACCCCUUUUACAAAUGGGUAAGCUGAGGCCCAGAGAGGGAAAGGGACUGCCCAGGUCACCCAGAACAUUUGUGGCAGAGCCAAAACAGGAAUCUAGCAUUCUUGUGUGUUUCUACUAUUUUUUAUUGAAAAGUUAUAUAGUAGACAUUUGUGGGGGGCAUAGUAUUCUUGGGCCCCACUGACCCUGAAGCUAUUGGAGCUAGUGCCUGGGUGGGCACUGGUUUUACAGCAACAUAGCCACCCUGGUGAUUGCUCUGUGUGGCCUUUGCAAUGAACUGGCUGCCCAAAGGGCCAUGGGUUCUUUGCGAUGGGGACUGGGAUGCUGAUCUCUGUGUCUGGCAUUCAGCACAGACCCUUCCAUUUAAUGGAAAUCUUUUCAAUGUGGAAAAAUUGGUCAGGAUCAUAAUGUCCUCUCUGCCUUUGCCCAACCUGGGCUCAUUGCAUGGAAGGUGCCUGCCUUUCCCACUGUCCCCCAACCCUGCCCACUCAUCAAGGCCUGGGGCAUGGAGACCCACUCCAUCUGCCCAGUCGGGAGCAAGUGAGGACUCCACUCUUUAGAAAGGUGUGUGUGUGUGUGUGUGUGUGUUGUCUGCAUGACUUGACUACAUUGUUCUUUGGAGACUGGGGCUGUGUCUUCUGCACCUCCUACAGUGUCAGGAUGGGGCUGGCCACAUGAUAGGCAUCUGAUCACCUAAGGCCAUCAUUGACCUUCACUGUUGACCUGGGGGAAGGGGACAGGGAUUCUCUGUGCCCUGUGUGUGCAUCCUAGGGGAGAAAAACACAAUGAGCACUGCCACCCCCUCUUCUUGGUUCUUGCUAAGAAACUCAUUGUUUAGGGGAGGCAAGGGGCCACCCUAGUCUCUAGGAUGAGUGGCCUCAGCUCCAGGGGUGAGUUAAAGUCAUGGUAGACUCAGUUCAUUGACUGGCAGGUGGCCAUAUGACCCAGUGCUGGCUGGGACUCAAACAGCUCUGCUGAGGGAUUCUGGGAGAUAUCCCACCUCCCCUCUCCCCACUGCUCUUGGAGGCUGACAGAUGAGGGUGGCCCUGAACCCAUGAAUUGAGGUUAGAGAAUAGCAUCAAUGUGAAUCCAGAACUCUGAGAUCCCUUAGGUGCCGAAUAGCCUGGAUGGCUGCUCCAGACUUGUUCUGGAAGAAAAUCAAACCUCACUGUUUAAGGCAGCCAUGAGCAGUGUGUUACUUGCAGCCGGACACAUUCCCAGCCCUUCUUCUUUCCCCUUAAAGACAAGGAAGGCCAGAGGCCCCAGUUUAUUUCACACCAUUCUUGCACUGAGUCUUUGACUCCAAGGAACUGGAGGUACCUGAUGAUGUCUCCCUCUAAGGUUGUCACCACCAGUAACAAUGACAUUGGUAAAGGCUAAUGUUUUAACACCUCUGUGCUGGUUCUUUGUAAGCAUUAUUGGAUCUGAGGCUCACAACAUCCCGUGGAGACUGUCUCCUCGUUGUCGCCGUUGAGGAAGUCGAGUCGUGGGGCAGGUUGGCCAUGGGGUGGAUGGGUGCUGGCUCCUGUUUCUUGCAGCUGGAGAGCCCUGUCCUUUGCAGUGUUCUCCCCUGACCUCUGACCUCUCUGGCUCAUCUCAUGAUUUUUUCCCCAGGGUGCUUUUCUUGCUUGUGGGAGGUGCUCUACAGGUGUCUCUGAGCACUGUCUUUCCUGCUAUGAUUCACCUUGGCUGUCUUCUGUCCCUAGACAUUCAUCAACAGAUAACAUGCUAGGCACUCCCUGGCUUCUAACACUGUGUGUGUGUGUGUGUGUGUGUGUGUGUGUGUGUGUGGUGCGAGAGGAGGAAAUGGACCUUGUCUUCAGGAAAAAUACAGCCAUGUACAGCAUACAGACGUUCCUGUCAACAGUGGGCCGAAUAUAUGACGGCGGUCCCGUGAGAUUAUACUGCCUAGUGACGUGGCAGCUGUCUUAGUUUGUCCAAGUGUUUGCUGUCUGUUGUGUUUGUGAAACAACCAAAUCAUCUAAUCACCUAACCCCACCUAACAACGCAUUUCUCAGAAUGUGUCCCCAUCAGCAAGUGACACAUGACUGUGCCAGCCACUGCUUAUCAGGGGCUCGGUGAGUUGCCAGCCCUGUGCCCUGUGUGUUUUCGGGUUGUCCUUGCUUAAGGCCUGCAGUAGCCCUGAGAAGUGUUCUGAGAGGUCAUGACUGGGCUCUUUGAGGCCAACUGUUUUGCCUCAAGGUACCCAGAGGAGCCCUGGACCUGAUCUGGCCAGCUGGAGCCUGAGUCUUAGUCUGGAGCAGAGGAUGGGCCAUGCCAAUAGUCCAUCUGUCCUGAACCAGGGUGGGGGUUCCUUCCUCCUUAAGGGAAGCCUGUGUGGGACAGGGACACCUGAGGUGAGUCUUGAAAGAGGAACAGAACUCCCCCAGGAAGGGAAGGGGCGGGGAACAGUGGCAUUUAAGGAGGAAGGAAGGGCUUGGGAAGAUGCCUGGGACCCACCCGGCUUUGUGAGACUUCUUUGGGGGUUGGGGUCAUAAUUAGAAGGCCCCACUAGCUGGUCCCUGUGCACCCUUUAGCUGGGACUCUUGUUAUUAAGAAUGAUGUUGCUAUGAAUGGAAUCGUGUUCUCCUCAAAAUUCCACAUACAGCAGCCCAUAGGCAACUCCAAUGUGUCGUCCUCGGAGGUGAAGUCUCUGGAGGUAGGCAGGGCUCGAUGAGGCAUGAGUGGGAAGAUUUUCUUACUCUUUCUGUACCCGUAUGGAGAGGACAACACGGUGAGGAGGGGGCCGUCUGCCAGCCAAGCAGAGACCUCAGAGAAACCAGCCCCGCUGACCCUCGAUCACGACCUUGCAGCCUCCAGGACUGGGAGACCAUAAUCAAGUGCUGCUUGCAUGAGGUGCCCAGUCCGUGGUGUUCCACUGCGGCCACUGAGCCGACUCAGGUAAGGGGCACGGGUCCUGAGAUGCCAUCGGGUUCUGAAGUCUGCCCGGGUCAGCACCAUUCUAUAAGCCCCCUCAGGGCAGAAUCUGGGUGCAGGCAGCUUGGAUGCAGCCACGGGUGUCGGCUCCAUUUUCCAGCUGGGGACACACAGCCUCUGGGGUUAAGCACUUGCCCGGGUGACAGGAAGGAAGGGAAUCCGCCUCUCUGGCUUCCAUCCUGAAACAUGGCUUCCCUCACCCCAUGGUGUGUGCAGGAACAAGGGACAACUGGGAUUUUUUGUGGUGGUUGGUUUCUGUGGGGCACCUUCUCCCGUCAUGGCCCCUGCCAGCUACCGACAGUUCAAUGACUGACUCCCAAAAGCCCCUGCGAGCCAGCCAUCAGCUCCUGCUCAGCUCCAUCCUGGACAGCUCCAAGAGGGGAGGGCAGGCCAGCCAGACAGGUGACCCCGAUAGGAAGAGGAACCUCCCCGUCUGCAGGAGGACCCUGGGUGUAGUACUGGGCGCUUCCUAAAGGACUCGGCUUGGCUCUCUGUACUCCUGGGCUCUUGAGCCGCAGACUCAACCAACCGCGAAUUGAAAAUAUUCAGGAGAAAAAACGGCAUCUAUGGGAGGAUGCGGGCAGUUCUGUGCAAAUCCUGUGCCGUUUGACACAAGGCACCUGCAGGUUUUGGAGUCUGUGGGGGUCCUGAAGCAAAUCCCCCACGGAUACCAAGGGACGGCUCUGUCAUGUCACACAUUGUCCCUCCGAGACUCCACGAAGCCCAUCUGUGAAAUGGGUCCAGCCUUAUCAGUCUUCCUUUGCACCUCAGAGGGCCGAGCACCACAGGCCUGGCUGGUGGGUUCCUUCCCUCAUGCGGGUCCCUGUGGGAGUUAGGCCGGCUGCUUGGAACGGGGCUCCUCCACUCUUCCUCUUCCCUUCCUCUCUAUGCUGAAAGCUUUCAGGGUGAUUGCCUCCUCUCCAGAGGGAUCUUGUUACAGGUAGGACAGGAGGGCGGCCUCCGGAUCUCCUGCCUGAGAUAAGAAGGCUGCCUCUCUCUAAUCUCCCAGCUUAGCAGCUACAUUUUAAUAUUUCAGAACUGGUUUGCAGGCUCAGGGCCAGGUGGAGAGGAGUGGUAGACGGGCCUGGCCUACUUAGGUUCUGAACGCAUGCAUUUAUCUUUGAAAGGACCUUCCUGCUCUCAAGACUAUGGACCCUCGGUCCUGAGUCCUUUCUUUAGGGUGGGUUUCAGGAGUCUGUGACAAGAGUUUGCAUUUAGGGAGAAACCUAGCUGGGCAGGGGUUGCCUGCUGUAAACAGCAUCGAGACUCAGGCUGUCCAGUGGCUGUCCCGGUUCCUACACCCAAUGCAGGAACAGAUUGAGGCCCAAAUCACUGUCUCUCUUCCUUUUUCCUGAGCUGGUGUACUCCUGAAAGGUCUCACUGGGAAUAAACAGGAGGACAAUCAACACUAAGUGAGCAGCUACCAAAUGCCCGCCAAGUUCCUAGACUGGCCAUCUGGCUGAGCUGGACUUGAAGUGUGCCUUUGUUCCUUAAGUGCUGCGUGUUCUUGGACAACUCACGUAGCUACUCUGGGCUUCAGUUUUCUCCCCUGUCGAGUGGUAGACAGAGUGUCUACUUCACAUGGCUGUUUUGGGACCUUAACGGGUUUGUAAAAUGCCUGGUAGGACGUGAGUUUCAUUUUGCUUCUUAAUAAAUUAAUUCAAGAAAUACGUAUUCAUUAUAAUGCUCUUUGGUUGGAACCUGUAACCUCUGUAUUUUUCUGCAGGGAGAAGGCAGUGAAAGUAGUCAGAGAUUACAGCAUUGGUUCCUGAGUUCCUCAGCUUUGCCCAGAACAGUCAAGACUCUGAAAGAUCAAUGCGGGUGUUGAUCCCAGUGUUUCCCACAUUCAUGGGGAAAGUCAGUUUUUGGCCAGUGAUCUGAUGAAAAUAAUUGGCCAGAAUCCACUGGAUGAGUUUUAAGUCAAGCUACACCACAUAGGAAUUCCUCCAAAUGACAAGUCCCUAUUAAGACAAUUACAGGCAACAUAAUAACACAAAAUAGAUGUUUCUUUUGCAUUUGCAAAUAUGAUUGUACACUUUUGUUUCUUAUCAAUAUAAUGUUGCCACCCCUUUAGGGAGAAAGAUGAUCGUUGAUUCUGACCUAUUUUCUGUCUCAUUAUUCCCCUUGGCAGGUAAAAUUUCCUUUCUCUUAUGAAGUGAUGGUGACGAUGCUUUUACAUUUUUGAAAUUAAUUUUGAAUAGGCAACACGUGGCUUGGAGAUGGUCCGAUGGCUUAGACGAGGGGUACACGGUUAAGAGUGAGCGCUCUGCUCAGCACCACUUUGGGAAGGAGGCAGAUAGUUAUUGCCAUUUUCCCAGAGAAAGGCCCCAGAAAGACCCCACUGGGGUCCCUCAGUGAAAGAGCUGUCUUGCUACCUUACUGGCCCUCUGUGAAUCCCACAUGUUAAAAACUCCUCCUAAACAUAUUGAACUUGCCAAUUUGUUUUGGGGUGUAUCAUCCUUAAAAGUGAUGGGUAAAGCUCAAAACUAACAAAUCCGAAGAAAAAUGGAAUUCAAAUGAUUCAGAGAGUCUAAGAGAUAGAAGAAAAUUUCUAUAAACAUCAGAAUGAAAAUCAUGAGAUCUUUAAAAUCAUGAAACAAGAAUUGGAAGCGAUAUAAAAGGAACCCUUGGAACAAUGAAGAGCUCUUGGAAAUACACACAGGUGCCUCAUAUCCAAGGAGAAACUAUCCAUAGUUGAAGAAUUGGAAGAUAAAAAUGAGAAAAAGUUCUAGAAAAUACAGUUAAAAUGUAAAGAGAGAGAGAGAAAAAAAAUAGGAAUAAAAGAAUAUUAGAUAAUUAAUCCAGUCAGUUCAACAUCUGACUCAUAAAGUUUCUAGCAAGAAAGAAGAGGGAGGAAAAAUGGAGAGUUGGCAGCUAGAAAAGAAAUAAUAGAAUAAAAUAAAGGAAAUGAAACACAUUCCUCCUGAUGUGAAAGGCCUACCCAGAUCUCAGCAUAAGGAAAGAAGGAAAACUCACACCUCAGCACACCCUCAAGAAAUUUUGAAAGCCUGAGAUCUAACAAAAUUUCCCAGGAAUCUAUUUUAACACAUCUUCCAGGUGAUUCUACUACACACUCAGACUUGAGAACCACUGUUCAAAUCCAACUAUGUCAGGCCUCCCCAGAAGCUGUGCAUGGAUGCACUCUUCACACGCUAUUUCCAAAAUUUAGGGUUUCAUUUUGCUAAUGUGAGUUCCUCUCAUGCCCUGCACCACCCCCAUCAUAACACUUAUUACAACUAUAUGGGGUCGUCAGGUUUCUUCUCUGUACCCCUCACUCCAUGUUUAGGUUCCUUGCUGACUCAUCAUGGCUCCUGCAGCCCAGGGAUUAGCACAUAGCAGGAGCGACACACAGAAUAUGACAUGACUCUGAAAUACCAAAAAGUAGCAUUUCCCCAAAUGUGGCCUGACACUCCAGUGUUAGAGUCUGUAAACAAGUCUGGAUGGCGCCUGGCAUUUUGCCAGAGGGAGUGGUUUGUGAAGUAACACCAUCGAGCCAUUAAGUGUGGAGAUUCCUUAUUGGUUGACUGCUGUAUCAAGUUUAUGUUAAUUAAGAUAAGCUGUGUGGAAUGUAUAUAUACCUCUGUUGUCCUACAAUAAACGGCUCCUACUCCUGCUGUAUCAAUCUACAUAAGUUCCUCGUCACCCCCCGGUUAUUUUGCUGCAGCCGGACUGCGGCACUCCAGAUCAUUUUAGAAGAUCGUGUUAUUUCAAUAAAGUGAUUACAUUAGUUUAAGGGGUAUUCAAAAAAAUAUAGCCAAAUUAAGGUUCUCUCUUUUCUAAACAAAGUUCAAGUCUUAGAUGAAAGAAUAUUGCUAUGUAAAUAGUCAGAGAUGUACAGGUUUAACGUCCUUAAUGUUGUACGAGGAUUCUUGACACUUAGGAAAUGCUGUGGGAAGGGUGUCAGUGGUUAAUGACUAGAUCCUCUUCAGCAGAUGUCUGUGAAAUCAUCAAACACUGUUGCUUUAAUUUCAGGACCAAAUCCAGGUACCACUGACACCUCAGAAGUCUAAGCUUCCCACACACUUACCUUCAUAGGAUUCCCCUUCUGCCCGCCUUCUCACACCCCCUAAUCAGAUCUGAGCUUCCACAUCUCUCUGAGCACUGUGCCCUGUGGAGCUCAAGACCCAAGAUCAACACCCUUCUCUACACCCCAAACACCUCCUUGGAAACAUACCUUCAGAUUCUGCUCCCUGAGGGGAACCUCCCCCUAAAGUCUUCUCUUUAGAGAACAUCUCCCCCCCACCCAGGGAACUGCACACCUGGAGAUGGAGAAAUGUCUUCCCUGCUCCCAUGGACACUUUGAAAUUAUCCUUACUCCUUUAUUCUUAAAAAAAAAUCCCAGCUAAUUUGAAGGACUUUUCAAUAAACUCCUGCUUGGUGUAGCAUUGAAUCUCUGGCUCCUUUUCUCUCUUAUCAUCACCUUAGUGGCUUCAACAAUGACACUGAAGAUGUGUCCAAUAUCCUGUCCAUUCAGUUCCUGGACCUCUGGAUUCUACUAUUUUUUUUCUUGCUGCAAUUAAACCAUACAUACAUACAUACAUACAUACAUACAUAUAGUCAUCAUUUAGGACUUACAUAUCACAUCCUGGGAGAGGCUUUGUCCCCAGCUAAGAUCACCGAGACAGUUGCUUUCCACAGUCUGGCCAUGUCUUAUCCCAUUCCUAGCAGCAACGGGCACACGAAUGGUCUAAUCUAUUAACUUGCAUGUCUACUGCUUGUCGCUUUAAUUACCUGAAAGCGGAGUCUGAGAUGGAAAUGUUCCUCGGGUGAUCAAGCAAGGAAGUGCUCUCAGGUCCAGCAAAGUGAGAGGGAAACGGGUAGGGCCGAGAGAAAAGCUAAGCAAGAAUAUGAUCUCAGCUUUAGACAACUAGACCAACGGGACAGAAUCCAGAAUCCGGAAAGAGAUUCAUAUGCAUGGGAUUGUCAGCAAGGGCACUGUCUCCACGAGGAAGGGGAAGUCUUCUCAACCCUUAGCCCUGGAUCAACUAGAUAUGAGCUUGAAGAUACUAAAAUAUUUUGCUGUACACAUAAAAAUCUGAAAAGGUCAUAGACCUCAAUGUGAGUUUAACUAAAAGACCUCUAGAAGAGGGGCUGUGGAUGUGGCUCAGUGGUGGAGCGCUUGCCUAGCAUGUGUGAGGCAUUGGGUUUGAUCCUCAGCACCCCAUAUAAAUAAAUAAAUAAAUAGAUAAAGAAAAGUUUUGUGUCCAUCUUCAGCUAAAAAAUACCUAAACAAACAAACAACCUCUGGAAGAAAAUAUUGGAGGCUAUUUAGCAAUCUUGAGGGUAAGCAAAUGAUUUUUUUUAGAAAAGACCCAAAGUACACUAACUACAAAAGACAUAUAUAAAAAAAGACAAAUCACACUUCAUCAAAAUUUUUUUAAAAAAGUAAAAAAAAGAAAAUCCUGUUCACUAAAAGACCCCCUUAAGAAAAUGAAAAGACAAUUUGAUCAGAAGUACCCUCAACACAUAUGUCAUGGGAAUUGCACCUGGAAAAUAUCGAACAACACCUUCACAAAUCAAUAAGAUAACUUGAUGAGCAGGCGGAGAUGUGAAUGGAUUCCUUUGGAAGAAGACAGUCUCACGAGACCUGUAAGCACGUGAAAAAGUGCUCAAUACCAUUCCCCAUCAGGGAAGUGCAAAAAAACACCAUAAUAAGAUAUCAGUUCAAACCCAACCAAAUGGGCCAAAUUAGAAAUCUGACAACAUCAAGUGUUGGCAAGGAUGCGAAGGAACUAGAAUUCUCACAUCAUGGUGUAAAAUGGUGCAUCCACAUUGGAAAACUCAUUGGCAGCUUCUCAUAAUAUUAAGUCAUGCACCCCGCCCUUAUCACUGGGCCAUUUUACUCCUACCCAUCUACCUAAGAAAAAUAAAAACAUAGGUUUUAAAAAAAUGUUAUACAAGAGUUUAUAUAGCAGCUUUAUCCAUAAUAGCUAUAAAUUGGAACUGUUCAAAUUUCCAUCAACAGAAGAAAAGACAGAUUGUUGUAUGCUCAUAUAACUGGAGGCUCUUUGGCACUGGGAGAUGAGUUACUGAUAUAAAAAACUGUUAACAAGGCCACUGUUUAACUGAGGGAAGAUAUCUACAAAAUAACUCAUAUUGCAUGACUCCACAUAGGUGAAGUUUCAAGAAGAGACAGGACAUUAGAGCAGUGGCUAUGCAGAAGGUUGGGGUGGACCGGAAGCGGGCAGCAGGUGGUGAUUGGCUGGGGUGUUGGUGACAUUGGAAAGCAUUCAUAAAAAUGCACAGAAUUGUAUGUUUAAUCGCUGCAUUUUUUUAGUGUAUAUUUUCUGUAAAUUUAAUAAAUAACAAAACAGAAAGAAGAACAUGAUAACUGGGGACGAGAGGGAAGCUCAGCCUUCUGGAAGGGGUGUCUCCAAUUUGGUUGGGAGCGAUUACCUGGAGCGGGGGUCAUCUGUGGGUUGUGGUUAGCCAACAGUGCCACUGGGGCGUGGGGUGCAUGUGCCUUCCAGAGAGGAGAGUCAGCCCUGGCUGCCAAGGUCCACCCCGUGCAGCAUCUGGAUCCAUUUACUUUUCACAUAAAUCCGUUUUUUUCUGUGGACCAGAUCUCCAAGAUUCUGGUUGGUUACAGUUUCUGAAGCAACUUACAAGUGGAAGGUAGUGGAGUCACCAGAGCUCUCCACCCUUGCAGCUGGCCUCAAAGCCACCCUUGGUGAUCAUCACCUCGCUCUUCCGCCCCCCUUUGUAAGUUCCCCUCCCCCUCUUCUCGUCUUGGGCUGGCCUAGUGGGGCAUCCAGAUGCUCAUCCCAGUCCUCGCCAGGCUGCGGGUGCUGUUGCCCCGUGACUCCAAGGCUUGGUGGUACCAAGAGAUGCUCCAGAGAAUCACCUGGGCAUCGAGUGUCUCCAGGACGCAGCUGCAGCCUGAUAGCGUCAUGAUGAUCAGGGUGGAUCACCUUCACCUGCAGGGGGACUACAUUCCCCCCACCCCUUUUGGCCAACUGGCGCAAGUUGCCCAAAGUGACCAGGUUGAGCUUCAUGGGAUUAUGACUGUGUUCUGGGCAAAAGAAAUCUCCACUUGGGUCCUAGACCCCUGACCCUCAGGGCUCCAGGUUGCAGAGAUGGGGAGCACAGAGUCCACGGGUGAGCUGCUGGUGAGGGGCAGUGAGCAGAGCCUUCUUGCUCCUGUCUUCCCACCAUUAAAAUGUCAGAUCUCGGGGUCAACUGCUGCUCUCUGUCUGAUUCGCUACUUUGUCCCCUGCAGCCACAACCCACUCGGCAGACGCUGAUCAAACAAGAUCCAGAAGUUGGCUCGAUGCUGCACACAGUGUGUUUAAGGGGCGUCGCAAAAAUACCCGUGUUCCUUAACAUGUCCCGGGUUUAUCAGAGAGAAUUUCAAAUUCCAAAAAACUGGAGAAAAUCGACAUCCCCCAGAGAUGACCCGUUCAUCCAAAUGAUACCGCCCAUGUAGGGGGUCCACAUGGGUGGGGGGGGGGGCUUCGUGCACAUUUCUGGAGCAUGAGAGUUUCCAGGCAAGGGGUUCCAGGACUUCCUUUGGGAAUAAAGGGGAAAGUGUAUCUUUUCCAGAGCAGAAAUCCUGUCCCAAACUUUCUUUUGUUUGAAAGGAAGGGCUUUCAAUGAAAAGCUGGCCGGGUUCAUUGAGCCGACAUCCAGUUCCUAUCACCGUCCAUAAACAGAGCAGAGGGUCUGGGGUCCCCUCUCCUGGGGGGCAGUUUGCAGCUGGCGUUUGCCCACCCUCUGCUAGACGCCAUUCUCCCAGGAACAGAGCAGGGUUAUGUGAUAGGAAAAGGAACCUUGAGCUGCCAGAAACCAGAUGCUGGCGACUGGAAGAGGCAGCGGAGGUUGAGAACUAUGAAUAAGUCAUGUUCAAUCAUCUCCGACCAACAGAAAAGGAUAUAAAAGAUUAGCGCAGAAGAGAGUUCACCCCAGUCUCCGGGCUGUCUGGGAGCAUGAUUUAGAUUAAAAGAAGAAGGAGAAAAUAAAAGAAAUCUCCAGAACACCUGCAGCGCCAUCGCGUGAGACGGCUUUCAGGACUGGGAUCUCAGUGCCCAUCACCGUGACCUCUUCCUUUUAUUUUUGGAAAGCCAUUUGGAUGUCUAUCCAAACAACCAGACCUGGAUUCGACCCGAUGCAGUUCUGAGUCAGGCAAUACGUCAAGGAGCUGUGACAGUUCCCACCCCGUCAAGGUCUCAGGACCCAGAGGGCAGCCUCCUCGUCGGGUCGGAGGGGUCCUCCUAGUGCCUGCUUCUCAGUUGGUGCUCAGAUCAAACAAAAGGCCCUGCUCCACUGUGCGGGGUCCGUUGCCUGGUGGAGAAAACCAUGCCAGGUCCGGCACCGGGGGACUGAACGCAGGCUGGGAAGUGCCCGGGUCUGUGUGCACAGGGCAGACCUGCCCUGCUGCCCUGGUCUCUGGCCAGUUGCUGCCAUUCUCAGCUUCCUUUGGUUUUGGUGAUCACAAGUUGACUUUGCACCUAGCAAGUGAGUUACCACUCAGUGGGGCUCUGUGACAGAGAAGUGACACUUGGUAUGGUUUCACUCUUUAACUCUGGUCAUUCUUGUGCGGAUAGAGUAGAGUCCAUGUUGGUUUUGAGGGACAUUUUCUGGUCAUUGAUGAUGAUGGAUAUCUUUUCAUGUGCUUAUUGGUUGCUCAGGGAAAUUCUUUUAUGACAUGUCAAAUGUCCAUUGAAGGAGAAUGGGCUAUCAGAGGUGCACUGUGGAAUACUAUAGAGCAACCAAAAAGGAACCAAAUGCUGUUACAGCAACAUGGAAAAAUUUCAGACAUGUGCACACACACACACAAAUUGAGAUAGAUCUCUAUAUGUAUAUAUGUCUCUAUACACACACAUACUCUAUGGCAAAUGAACAGUCAAUCCAGAAACUAGCCAAACUCAAUAAGAGUGUUGGAACUUGGGUUAGAUAAAAGUUCCCCUUUGGGGAGAAGAGGGGAACUGUGGUUAGUUGGGAGGUGGAAUGGCAGGGGGCUUGGGAGGUUGCAGCCAAAAUUCGAUUUCUCCACCAGGGUGAGUGCUUUGUAGUAUUUGAUCGGGCCGUAUGCUUGGGAUCUGUGCAUUUCUCUGUAUGUGUGUUAUACUUCACAACUUAAAACAAGGAGAGCAGGGGGUGGGGGGCAGAGAGUUGGAGGGAGAACAGGAGAGCCAGGGAGAGAGACCCUGGGUUCAGGCCCAGGCUGGUGGGCUGGGGACCCACACUGGGUGUUCUCAGCCAGCUCACCCUCUGACCACUUGGGAGGUAGCUCACACUCCUUUCCCUCAGGCCUCCCUGGGCUGGUCCUCCAGGAAGCAGUCAGGCUGGGGCAGAGCUUGGCCUGUGGGACGUUGUUGGGGUGCCCUGGGGACUUGUCCUGUGGAAGGCACCACAGCAGGCAGGAGAGAGUCGGGCUGCCUGGAGGCCCCAAGGGGAACUUUAGAGCAAAACCACCUCUUAUGGUGAGAAUAUGAGUUGUUCCCCCAAAGCUCUGUUAGUGCAGGAAUAUUCAGAGGGGAAAUGAGGUUCUGAGAGUUGCAACCUGAUCAGCCAGAGUGAAUGGGCGGACAACUGUAGGCAGGUGGGGCGUGGCUGCGGAGGUGGCUGCUGGGCGUGGCUGGGGAGGUGGCUGCUGGGCGUGCACUGGGAGGGUGCAUCCUCCCUUAUGGCACCUCCCCACCUGCUGCUUCCUGACCCUGCCGCGAGCUGACCGCUUGUCUGUCCUCCACGGGGACCACUCCCAUGAUGGGGUGCCCCACCUCAGGCCCAGAGCAAUGGAGUCAGCCAUCCAUGAACUGAGACCUCAGAAACCAUGAGCCCCAAAUGAACUCAUCCUCCUCUAGUUGUUCUUGUUGGGUAUUUUGGUCGGAGGGAGGAAGAAACUGACCAGAGCCCAUCCUGUUGGAGAGGUCCCUGCGGGGCAAGGGGGUCAGGCCUUUUACCUCCUCAUAGAUUGGCCUUUGGCAAUGGGCCGCUCUGUCCUAAAGGUUCCUUUUUAUUCUCAUGCGUUGACACCUGGGAAUUCGUCUAGCCCUGGACGUGCUUUUCUGACUGGGACUAGCCAACUCCUAGGGAUAAAAACUGAGUGGGCUGCGGAGGCACCUUGCAUGAGAAUCACCCGUAGCCCACUCGGCAGUCCCCUUCCCUCCUGACUCUCGCACCUGGACUGCUGACCGCCUGCCUUAAAGACACCAGGGCUGGGUAUCAGACAACUGGACACAGCCCGGCACCCAGAGCCGCUGAUCCCAUUGGAGUGGCCUCCCUCCAGCUCACAUUUUGCUCUGCCCACUCUGCCUCAGGGCCCCCGGGUCCCUCCAGGGCAUCUGUGGCUGAAAAACUCCUGGGUUAAUGGAGGUCAUCUCCCCGGCUCUUGGCCUUUCCAUAGCUUGAAUGAUAAAACCCACAUUUUUUUAAUUAAAAAAAGAUUGGUGCACAUUAAUAAUACCCAAUGGGACGUUUUGUUGGGAUGUCCUGGUGGAGACAUAAAAAUGUACUUUGAUCCAUCCCACCCCCAGUGUCCCCAACCCUCUCCUCCGCUCUCCCCCACCCCCUUCCUCUACCCAGUGGUCUCCGUUCCAGUUUCGAGGCAUCUCCUUUCCCCCAUGAAUUACCUCUUACUUCCACAUAUGAGAGGAAACAGGUCUCUUUCUAAGGAUGACUGAUUUUGUUCAGAAUUAUGGCCUCCAGUUCUAUCCCCUUAAAUGGCUGGAUAAAACGCAGUCAGGUCCACAGUGUGCCAGUGUUUCUUUCCCCACAGUCUCACCAGCGCUUCUCUCCGCGGGGACCCUCGGAGGGUGCCAUUCUAACUGGAGUGGCACGCAGUCUCCAUGCAGUUUCGAUCUGCAUUUCCCUGAUGGCAAGAGAUGUUGAGCAUUUUGUCCUAUGUGAAACCCGCCUUUGCAAGUCCACCCCUGGCGGGGGCGUGGCCCUGGAGGGCAGCUCCCUGCAUGGUGAGCCACUCCUGAGGGGCUGCCAGCUGGAGACCCUCUGUGCACAGGCCUUCCUUGAAUGAUGUCAUCUGUGUCCACCAAGACUCUUGACACCCCGGUCUAAAGAGCCCCCAUAGCAGGGCUUUGGCCUUGCAGAGGUGAGGGAGACUCUGUGUGUUCUGAGGGGGUGCCUCCUUCACUGGUGGCCCCUACAUGUCUCUCUGGUGUCACCCCACUCCCAGCCUUACUCCUCUCCCUUCUCUAUCUGGCAGUUGGAGUGAUCCUGGGUCGCACACCUACAUGGUUUCUUUCUCACUCAGGGUGAAAGCCAAGGCCUCCUGUGUUCUGGAAGGCCCUAGAGAAUCUGUCCUUGUCUUCCACUAGUGUCCCCCUGGCUCUUUUCCAGCCUCCUCGCUAUUCCUUUACAGGCACAUCCUACUCAGGGCAUUUGCACGUCCUGUGCCUGGAAUGCUCUCCCUCCAGAUCUGCCCUGGGCUCACUCUUCCCCACAUCUGCUGGUUUUGAUUUAAAUAUUACCCCUUCCUUGUUCACCUGCUUUAAAAUUCUGACCUUUCUCCAUCCCUGUAACUGCCUAUUCCCCUUCCCCAUUUUAUUUUUCUCCACAUGCAUUUCAUUUGCCUUGAUAUUUCAUUUGAACAUAAAAGGCUUUGGGGGGGGCGAGGGGAGGGAUUUUGUCUAUUUUGUUCAUUGCUGAGCCCCCAUGGGCCCCACCAAGGCCCACCUGGUAGGAUAAGGCUCAGGGUUUGUAGGAACUGUUGGGGUCUGCUCUCCUGCACCCCUGGGCUAACUCCAGCCGGACACCUGGAGGGACCGGUUAAUUAAAGAUGCAUCUUAAUUUCUCCCUCUCUGCUGUCUGCUGCUCUUCUUUCAUGUCUACCUCCCCCUCCUUGUUCAUAUCCAUUUUCUUUCUUUUUCCCACUCCUUCCUGCUUUUUCGGUACUUGAUGGAAUCACAUUAAACUAAUAAACCUUUCAUUACUUGAUUGUGGCCGUAAUUACGCACACUGAGAGCCAGGCUUGUUUUGAUUUUCUGUGGACUUUGGGUUGCUGAGCUUUUGAACACUUGUUUUUAUUCCUCGGUUGCCACUUGACCCCCCCGACACACACCCGUUUUUAAAAAAGGAUGAAAAGCUUUAGAAAAACAUCAGAAAUAUCCUUUUAUUUUAUUCCCCCGCAAUUGAUUUGGAGGGUUUUGUUUUGAUUUUCCUCUUGGUAAUGGUGGGUGUUAAAAAGGGAUCACGCGUUUCUAAACUGGCCACCAGGUCACGGCUUCUGAGACGGCAGGGAGAUGGCUUCUGUGGACCGUGGGGCUCGGAAGACGCCCCACUGGAGCCCAAGUUUGGCGUGAUCCCACGAGGUGCUGGUGGAGCUGGAGGCAGCUGGGCAAGAGCGGGGCUUCUCGAACUCGGCACCGUGGACUUUGGGGCUGGAGGAUUCUUGCGGGGGGGUUGUCCUGAGUGCUGCAUGGGGCUUAGUGGCGUCUCUGGUCUCUAUUACUUAGUCCCCUGGAGGAAGAGCUGUGUCGAGAGCCGAGGCCCCCAGCCUAGAGUCUCUCCUCCUUUGUGACAAUUGAAACACUCUCUCUGUCCAAAGGUGGGAACAACUCAAAUGUCCAUCAGCGGAAGAAGGAUUGGACAAGACGUGGUCUAUCCGUCCAGUGACGUGAUUCAGGCACGAAAUCAGCGAGGCCCUGAUCCCUGCUAAGGUGCGGACCCACCCUGAGAACCCCCUGCCAAGGGAAAAAAAACCCCCAGGAGCAAGGCCAUAGGCCAUAUGAUUCCAUUUAUGCAAAAUGUCUAGGACAGGUAAAUCCACAGAGAUGCAGGCGGAGGGUGACAGCCGGGGGCCGGGGAGGGAGAGCUGGGGUGGCUGCUAGUGGCUGUCAGAGGCUCUUCUUGGAGGGAUGAAAACACUCUGCAACCACAUCCUGCUGAUGGUUGUACCGCGUUAUGAACAGACCUUGUGUCCCUGGAGUGUCCCCUUUAAAACGGUUAUGAUGCUACACUUCAUGGUCUGUGUGUUGUAUACCACAACAUAUAAUAAUUUUGAUAUUAUAUAUCAAAGAAAUAGCUCAUGUGACCUGCUCUCGCUGGGUGCAGGGCAGCUCUUCUCGCCCAUCAGAGCCCUCAACGUGGGAGGUGGGGUCCUCUCCCCCCCCCCCUUCCCACCCCUCCAUCCCCUUACUCCACCCCAGGACUAAGGAUCACUGAUUUGCAUAAACCAGAUUCUAAAUCAACAGCCCUGGAACUCUCUCUUUGGGAUGGAUGUUUGAAGGGAAUUAUUUCAGUUGCCCCUUACAAGGAGGGAGUGACGUCAGCAGCAGCCACCAUUUCUUCUCACCAGUGUGUAGAGGGGUCGGCAGGGGUCGCCAUUUCUGUUCUGUGUGGUGUUAGCUGGGGCUGCCCCUCGCUGGGAGCUUGCCUGGGGCUGGGGUGUCCCAGGGGACUUUGCUCACCUCUCAUACCGGGCAGCAGCCGGUCCUGGCUCUUGGCUGGGGACCUCGGUUCCCAAGGCACCUCUCCCUCCAGCAGGCCAGACCGGCUCCGUGGCAAUAUGGUGGCCCGGUUCACCUCAGUGGGUGUGUCCAGGUAACGUGGCUCAGAGGUGGCUCUCAGAAUUGAACCCUCUUCCUCCGGCUCUGUGUCUACCUAGCUCCCUCUGUCCUGAGAAAGAAGUGAUUUCUCUGUGUCAGACUUUAUUCGUUAAUUUUUUUUACUCAACAAACAUCUGUUGAGGACCCACUUGGGUCAGGUGGUAUCUGAAACCCAGGGGAGGCAACCCCGGGCAGGCUCUAGGGUGCUCCAUAAGAAUUUUCCUGUACUCAAGAUUUUCUAUUUUUUUUUUCCCCAAGCACAUACAUGCUUUUAAAGUCUAAAAACAUGAAAUAAAGCAUUGAUAAAUAACAUUAGAGGAAAUUCAGGAAAAAAGAAUCAGUGGGUCCAGGAGGAAGACUGUUGGGAUUAUCUGACUGGCAAAUGACAUGAACUUGAACCAUUUGGGACCACUUCUCAGAGGGCAGAGGGGUGAAAUAAACAGAAAGAGCUCAAGUCUGCUUCUGGCCAUGGUAGGCCCUGUUGACCUGUGUAGGGUGCUACGGCCACCUUCCACAUGACCAUGCUGUCAUGCCCACAGGGACCUAGUGUGAUCUGGGCCACGAUUCCAAUAGUCCCCAAUCCUCCAGGGGCAGUGUUAUCUGAAUGCAUUACCUCGUCAUUGUGUCAAGACGUUAUUUCUAUUUGAGUUGACAAAAAUUGUGCGUAUUUAUGGUGUACAGCAUGAGGUUCUGGAAUAGGUACACACUGUGAAUGGCCCGUUGAGCUGAUUAACACACGCAUUACCUCAUAGACUUGGUCUUUUUAUUUUCUUUUAUUUUGGUGGUGAGAACACUCCAAAUCUAUUAUCUUUGGUUUCUGAAGCCUGCAAUACAUGGUGGUGGUCUCUAGUCUCCAUGUGGUACAACGGACUCUUGAACCCAGCACGUGGUCACGUCUAACUGACAUUUUCAUCUCCGUGUCGGUCAAAGGGUAGAUGAUUAGGUUCACAUGAGACACUCUGGAGAAAAAUGACUCAGACGAGAGAUUGUCCUGGAUAAACCAGCACGUCAGAGGAUGAGCGCUGGAUUAAGAAGGUGGCGUCCUUACGUGGGUCUAGAAGAUUCUUCCAGAGGCUCCAUAUUAUCCUUAAAACUUUGUAGCGACAGCUGUGUCAUAACGUUGGGUUCAUCUUCUCUAUUCUUCAGAACACAGGCACGCACACACACACACACACACACACGCACACACACAAAUAACCAGGAAAAAAAGGGAGAUGAUACAGAGGUGAUUGUGGAGAACCAAGAGAAACAACUCUUAAAGUUGAUGAUGAACAUUUUUCAGAAACAGCCUUGCAAUUGAAGAGCCUCCUCCCUUUUGAGGGGAAAAACAUGUCAGAUCAUGAAAACUCUGGAAAAGUGUCUUUGAGAUGGUCACCUUCCAAAUCCCUCAGGCAAACAGAGGAGGAUAUGGGGGCUCCCGAGGGGAUGAGGUCGACCCAGGGACAUGUGGGACAUGAGCUGCCGAGUUGGGACCCCAGCUCAUGUUUGUUUGCCGUGUUUGUCUGACUUCUUGGCCAGGACCCUUGUUCCAGAGCCAGAGAGCUCCAAAUGGCUUCACUGGCUGUGGAGGGGGAAAACGUGGCCGUGGCUGGGUCCCAGUUGGCCCUCAAAGUGGUGGUUUUGACCUGGUGGUACCCAUGAGACGAUUGUCUUCGUUUGGGAAGAUUCGUCAAGCUUGCAUGGCGACAGUUGGGAGGAGCUGAGACGUGGUCCCUAUUAGACAGGAUAGGAACUCUCCGGCGACCCUGGACACACCAGCCCUUUCCUGGAGACAACCGCCAGGCACCUGAAUGUGCGGCCUUUGGUUCACAGGGACACCAAAGUGGCAAGUCCUGUCCCUAGACCGUCCAACCCAAUGAUGCCGAUUCAGAGGCAGAAAGCGCAAUUCCUGGCCUGGUGCCACCACCACACACUACCUGAGCUACCGUGGGUUAGAAUCCCCGGACGGAGGGUCUGAGGUUUUGCAUUUUAACCAGCGCCUUUGAUCUCGUGCGUCCAAGUCAAAGCUGAGAACCACACUGUGCCAGUCUCUGUGUGCUUGUUAGUUCUCUCGCUGUCACCCCCCAUCCUGUGUCCCCAUAACAUAUAACUUAGUGAAGGGCAAAUGCUCAGAUUCUCACGCCAUCCCUUGCAGAUGGUCGUUCCUCUUUCGGGGACUCAGUAUCUCUGUACGAUGGUACAGGGAUGUGGGUUGGUCCCUGGGUGCUCCUUCCAACUCCAGAGCCACUCACCCUUCUCCCUUUGCUUCGUGGUUUGGGGGUCUGAAUGCAUGCACUGCACCCCUGGGUUGCUGUUGGGAUGGGGCCUGGGCACCCUGCUGGGAGGUUUGAGGGCAGGGAGAAGAAGGGGAGAGUGUAUUUCCCCAGCUCCCUCCAGCCAGAUGUAAUUCGGGGACAUGCCGUGUUCCUCCCCAGCCACAUCUUCUGGGUGGUUCCCCUCCAUGGUCAGGUCCUCUCUGGCUCCAGGAACACUGUUCUCCUGCAUUGGCCAGGGGUGGAAAUGGCUCCCCAUUAUGGCUGGCUCCAGCAAUUUUAGUGUCCUGUGCUCGUUCCUUUAACCCUGUCCAUAUUCGUAUGAAAACUUCCUUUACUAAACCCUCCUCAAUUAAGCCCGGGGAGUGGUCAGUGACCUCCUGCUGGAACCUGGGCGGAUGAUAUUAUCCUUCAGGUUUCGGGGCGGUCAUAACACAUGACCUGGCACCUAGCAUUUGUGCUCGGUACACCUGAGCGAUCAUUAUCAAUGCUAUUUUCAUUUUUCUUUUCUUGAUAGAAGUAGAAUUAUAGGCUCUUAUCAUGGAAAAGAACCACAGAGGUCUGUUCCAAUCCGACGCAGCUCUUAUCUCACUGCGAAGCUUUGGGAAUUCUCUUAGGAGAAUCAGCAAAUCUGGGCUAGGGUACCGAGUGCCUCGCUGUUCACAGCAGAGGGGCCCCCCAAGGCAGGAGUCUCCGGAUACAGGAUUAAGACCAUGGAGUCGGAGCCACAGACACACAUCCCUCCCAGGGUCCUUGCACAGUCCAGGAGGAAGAAGUUGGUCCCCACUGCUGUCCACAAGCAGCAUCCCCAAGGUGGAAAAGCCUCGGGAGGUCCCCGGGACCCACUAUGCUAACCCUUCCCCCGAUUCCCAGCACCGAUCCGUAGGAGACCCAGAUGGCUUGGGUAAUCAAACGACCUGGCAGAACCAGCCACAGAGGUGAGAAGGAUGUGCUGGGGACUUCUCAUGGGGACCAGGAGACAGUUUGAGAGACUCUAUGGGGUCCUUACAGAUUUUUUUUUGAACUGAUACCUUUGUGGCUCUCUCAGGAGAUCUGUGCUGCAGAUGCCGAGCCCAGAGGGGGAAAUAAAUAAAUAAAUGCCGGCGCACGAGGCCGCAGCCUCGGCUCAGCUGGCAGCUCUGUGGCCCCAGGUGCAGGGGUCCAGCGCCUCAUCUUGCCUCUGGACCGCAAUCAAUGCAGCAGGCAGGAAAUGAGAGGAAAUUAAUUUUUCCCCCCUCUUCUCUUUCCCUCCCCGGCCCUCCCUUCUGUUUUUACACAAGGGCCUUUUAAAAUGUUGGUUCCUCUCUGAUUAUAGUGCAAUAGAGGUUCCAAACAGCCUCUUUUGGACGAAGCUCCCUCUGCCCUUAACCAGAAUGAUUGGUUGGUUGCCUUGGUAAUCGAACUCAUUCGCUGUGUGGAAGCCACAAUUAUGAAGGUUUUCUGGGUACCGAUCCCCCUUAGUGCCUUUUUCUUAGAAGUUCACGACAAGAUGGGACAAAGGAGACCUAAUAGAUUUUAUUGCUCCGGCUUCUUUCAGGACGCAGGAGCCCACGGCCUGCGGACAUGAGCUGUGAGUGCCAUUUAAAUUGGUUGGCUGUGCCCGGGGAGAGUGCUUUACGCUCAAGAGUGGCUGAGGUUCUAUUAGCUAGAGGGCCAGGGCCGGAGGAUGAACCCACGGGCCGGGCUCCUCUACCUCAGCUCCUAAUGGAAACCCGAGAUGGGCCCAGCCCUGGUGGCAUCUGGGGCCGAGGGCCCCGGGCACUUAACCUUUCGCUGAUAACCGAAGGAAAUGGACAUGUAACUGCUCUCUUGAAACUCCUACCUGAUUCAGGUUCAAGGCAGGGGAGGUUGUGGGUCGUUGAAAUACCCAAGCUGGAAAUGGUGUGGGCAGAGGCGGCUCUCCAGCCUCUAAAGAGGAACAGGCCUCCAUUAGCUGGGGUAAUUGCAAAGAAUGAGGAGGGAGGAGAAGAUGAUGCUGAUAAUCAUGAUCACAAUAACCACAUAAUUCAUCUGUGGAGGGUACAAGAUGCUCACCGUCAUUACCUCAGCCCGUUCCCACAGGAGCCUGGGGGUGGCUCGUCUUUUCUGGUGGACGGGGAAACUGAGGAACGGGGAGGCAGGCGAUCCUGUGCAGGAGGGAAUGGGUCAGAGGUCAGAGAUGUCUCACUACUGAACGGCCUCGAGCUCGGAGUACUACCUUCCCUAAGAUCAAGUCAGGUCUGAGUAGGGAUGAGCUUGGGGGUCCAACAGCUUCUCUCCCACAACUCCUUCACCUACAGGGCCCGCUCUGAUAGGGUGUAGUCACUGUGUUAAGAAGGAUUCUGAGGCUGCACUUGGGGUUACCAAGGGAGGGCGCCAUCUUGGUCAGUGCCGUCUGUCAGUCAUGAGGCUGUGAUGGGGGUUCUUGCAUUUGUGUCCUCUGUAGAUGUGGCAGCUGACCCCCCCCCCUUGGAGCUUUUCUGAUGUAACCACUCUCUGAAAACCCAUCACACAGCGUGACUCCAGUGUGGUCUCGGAGUUUUGGAAAAUCUUUGUAUUGGGGAAUAAUUUCAAACAAGGAAGUUUCAAGAAUAAGAACAGGACAAAGAACAGCCCAGGGGCUUUACAAGGGUCUGCCUCCUGGUAAUAAUCUACUUGGGUCAGGUUCCCCUUUUCUCUCUCAUAUGUGCUUACAUAGCUUUGGGGGAAACUGUUUGAGGGUCAGGGACACAUACACAUCAUGGCUCUUUGCCGUUACAUAUCUCAGUGUUUGUCUCCAAAGACUAUGGACAGCUCCCAGGUGACCGCAUCACCAUGGCCAGCUUCGGAGCAUUGAAUGUGGGUGCACCCUUUCCCUUGUCCUUACCUGUAGUCAGUGUUCUUCUCAGAAUUCCCCCAGGGCCAGUCCCCAGUAAGGUAUUUAGCUGUCACAUCUUUUCAGUUUCCUUUCUGAUACUGGCAUCUUUGACGUUUCCAUAGUUUUGAAGUGUCCUGGUACAGAGGUUUAGAAUAUCCAUUUACCGAUUCGAUACUCUCGAGAACCUCAUGCUUAUGCGGUGCUAGGUGCUGAGCUUCUUGCAAAGGUGAGUUUGACCAUUCUUCUCCUAAUGGCAAGAGCAUCAGGACAAUGGAUGCCGCAGGUCCCUGAGUACUUGCGGGGUCGAGGGCUUUACCAAGCCCUUCACGUGAGGCUGAUUGUUCUCAGUUGGAGAUGGGGAAACCACACUGAGGCUCAGGCAUGUUAACGUCAGCUUGCCCAAGGUCACGUAGGUGGCAAAGAGCCCCAAGAUGUGAUCUCAGGUGUCCUGGCUCUAGAGACCACACUUUGAACCUCUUGGGGAAGUAAACUCAACAGCUUGGUAGAGAUGGGAAAAACAUUCAUUGAUUCAUUCAUUCAUUGUUCACUGAUUCAGUUACACAUUCUUCAUUCACUCAUUCAUUGGUUAUUGACCCAUCCAAUCAUCCAUCCAUCUAUCCAUCUGUUCAUCCACUAUGCAAUCAUCUAUCCAACCCUCCAUCCAUUCAGUGAUCCAUCCAUCCGUCCAAUCCACUCCAUCCUUCCAUUUUUCCACGUCUCUAGAGUGAAAGACACUGUGCCCGUCUCUGUGGCUCCAUUGGUAAAACAGGACAGAUGAAGUUCUUGGUCCUCAUGAAGAUGACCGACCAAAGGGAGGAGAUAGAUAAUGAAUAAAGUGUAAUCCGUCUAUGAGAGUAAAAUACGGGGAGUGGGAAAGUCAAACCUUGUCCAGAGGGUCAGAGAAGGUCCCCAUGCCAAAGCAGCAUCUAAACAAAGUCCCAGAGUCUGCGAGGGCAUUAACUGAAAGAGGAAGAGUUUGACUCUGUGCAGGAGAAAGCAAAUGUGCUUCCUGGAGGAGGUGUCCCAGGGCUGGGUGUAAGGCGUGGGAGGGACGUGGAGCUUCAGUGUGGGGGAAGCAUUGGGCGGGGGGCGGGGACAGUACAGGCAGAGCAGGCCACGUGUGGGAAUGCAUUCGGGGAGGUCUCUUGUGAUGGUGUCUCCUAGUUGCCAGACGCCCAGGGGUCCUCUGUGUCUCCAGGACUGUUGAUGGAGGAGCUGUGAGCUCGAUUCACAGCCUUCCUCAGUGCGAUCACAUACAUUGGGAGACUCGAUCUUUCGUUUUUGUGACUCGGUCCCCUACAGGGGCACCAUUUUGGGUAGAGAGCCCAUCCAGCUCCACGUUGACCCCUGAGCCUUGAGGGUGUCUGGUGUGCUGGCUGCCACUGUGGUGCUUGGGGUCCCAGGAGGGGACGGAACAGAAAAAAACAGAAACCACCCUUCGCUGCAUGAAGCUCGCAUUGUACAAAUUUAAUUGGUAAUUUCAAUCGCCAAUUUCUUUGUAAUUUCAAUGGAAGUUUAUUUGGAAUUGACAAGGAGUACUUUGGAGUUUGAGUGCAACUGUCCAGAUGGUGGAAUCUUUGCUCUUGGCACGCAGGUGACCUAGAGUCUUACCUGGAGAGACUGGCCCCUGUUCUAAGGCUCCGUCUCUGCAUUCCUCAGAUGAAUGGGCUCAGUUAGACGGCAGCCCUCAAGAGUCUUAGAUUCCAUGAACCAGAAGGGCAGAGGCACCCUGAGAGCCGGGUGGCUGUGGGGGGUGAACCUGGACGUUGGUGGUGGCUGCCUGUUUUGCCAGGGGCUCCAGAGGCGGCUCCUGGCCUGAUCGGAAUCCUCUUCGGUCGCCCUGGUUUUCUGCACUUUGACUUACAACAUAAAUUAUUCUUCCUCUAAGUGGCAGGCGUAGGUAAGCUACCAAAAGGUCACUUGGAACCCCAAUCAAUCCCGGUGGCUUUGAUGGCUUUAUGCUCUUCAGGCUCCCGUGCGUGUCUGCCGCGCCAGCUCUGAGAAGGGGCUUGGGGACCGCUUUCUGCAAAGGUGAUUGAAUUUCCUUUAGGGAGAGUUAACUGCCUUGGUUUGCCUGCGGGUCGGGAGCGCACCCGUCCUCGGGGGUCCGGGAAGGGGGAGGGCAAGUUCUGGACACUAACUAAAGAUGAAAAUCAGAGCAAACCCAUCUAUUCAGGAACAGAGGCCAGGUUCUGCUUUCCCCUCCCGCAGAGCUGUGAUUCGGAGCUGCCCCAGUGGCUCUGGCUGUGGGCUCCCACUCACGCCCUGGACUCAGGGCCUCCCGGCCUCCCUGGUCCCUGCAGAGCAGGUUUAUCCUCAGCCCCAUUUUGCAGGGGAGGAAACUGCGGCUGGGAGCCGAGUGCCUCAGCCCCAGGCCCCAACACCGUCAGGGCAGAACGGGGCUGGACUUAGUGCUUCUUGUGACUUCCCAGCUCCCAGCUGACUUGGCAGGCCACCCUGGGCCUCGGUGAGAGCCGGGGCAGGAGUGGGAGAGGCCCCGCGGCUGGUGUCUCAGACUUAAAUGUCACAACAGAAAUCAGCAUGCCGUUGAAUAAAGUGAGUCCUGGGUUCCAAUCCUGACACACAUCUCAUAGCAACAAAGUACAUGUGUUAUGUGUGUAAAAGAUUAUAUUAUUAUAUGAUAUUAUAAUAUCAUUAUUUAAUUAUGAUAUUAUAAUUAGAAUAUUUUGUAAUGAAAUAUAUGUAUAUGAUAUAUAACAAACACAUAUUUUCUAUAAUAAAUAUAUUUUACAUUAUAUAUAUUUUUUCAUGUACAUUUAUUAUAUAAAUGAUACAUAAAUUGAUGUAAAUAUAAUAUAUGAUAAACUGUCCACUGCAUUAUGUUUAUAUAUAAUAUGAAAAUUCAUAUUUAUGAUAUAUUUAUUAUAUAUGAACAUAUGUUUAAAAUAUAUUUAUCAUGUAUAUAUAUACAUGAUAUAUAUUUAUAUACAUGAUAAAUAUGCCCUUAGUAUAUACAUGAUAGAUAUAUACUUAUUAUAUAUUUAUAAUAUGUAAUUAUACCUGAAGUUUAGCAAAAUACAUCAAAGAUGACAGUUUAAUUAUUAUUGCAUGACACUUGACAUGCAGUUUGUGGGCUGGCAAUGUUAGGGUGAACAAUAAAAUGAAGACAUAAUUCUGAGACAGCUGUAUAUUCCAAAUUAAGACUCUAUUUUCUUGCUUUCAUCUCAGUAUUGUGACUAAUUAUAAUCAAUAUUUUCAGAAAAUUGUGAUGUACUGACAACAAUACUAAAUUAGGAAAACUUAAAGCAAGGUAUUUUUAGGUAGGUUUUUUUUUUCUGAAAUUAAUCUGUUUUCCCAUUUUUAUUUGUCUUAUUGUGUCUAUAACCUACAUGCAAUAAAGUGUAUAUGAUCCAAAUGUCACAGUGGGCUGUGCCAGAUUUAUGUGCUCAUGUAAUGACCACCUCAAGGAAGAUCUUCAGAGUUUUUAAGAUAUGCAUUUCUACUUGGAAAUACUGAGUUCUGCUGAGGCAAUAGUUACUGGAAUUGUCAAUAAACCUUUACAAGUAAUUCUAUUUGAGAAAAAAAAUUAUGGAUUUUAAAUUUCACGUUCAAAUGUAGAACGUUGCCACUUGUGACACAUCAUUCAUACGGCAGAAAAUGUUGUUUAUUGUACUCUGUGCGUCUCCCCAGGCCUCCUCCUGGUCCUGAGCAGACUGUGGGCUGUGUGUGGCCAGAGGCUUUCUGUUUUAUUGACCACAGUGUGUCCAAUUCCUAGAAUCGUGCCUGGUGCUAAGUAGAUGUUCAAUAAACUCUCGCUCAGGAGUAAGCGGAAGUUGGGCUCACGGUUGUUCUGAGCUCUGUGAGGUUCUGCCUAAUCUCAAACGGAACACCUUCAUUUUAUGAAAAGUAUUUGUAAACAAAGUUCAGUCUGGUGUCGGGAGAGACAACACCGCACCUGACACCAUGAUCCAUGUGCUCGUUUGUAUCUGGGAAUGCCAAUGCACGCCUCUGCCCAGGGAGGUUCAAGGUGGGCCCCUGGGUUUGCUGAUGGUUUCCCGCUCAUGGUCCAUCAGGUCUUCCACGUCAGAGGGGCUGUGGAGAGCAGCUGUUCCUUCUUUGAUGUGCUGCGGGCAGAAGCUCUGCUGCACGGGGUGAUUGCCAGCCGGUGGCCGGUGGACUUUCUCUAAGAUGGUCCCUGGGGCCCCCCUCCUGAUGCUCACACUCUGUGCGACCCCCUUUCUUUGCAUGUGGACAGGACCUGGAUCUUCUUCUAACCCAUGGGACAUGGAGAAGGUGGUGGCCGUCACUUCCCUCUCUUACGUUCUAUAGGAUUGAAUUUGCUGUCUUGCCAGCAGACUUGAGUGACGAUAAAGUAAGUCACCAUGUUGGGGAGGCCCACGAGACCAGGAACUGGAGGUGGCUUCUGGCCACCAGCCAGCUGGGAGCUGAGGUCUGCCUAAUAGCCCCAAGGACUGGAUCCCAAGGAGACCCAAAGCAAAGCCUCCUCUUGCUGAACUUUCAGGUGAGACCCAGCCCUGGCCAGGAACCUGUAGGCUCACAAGAGACUCUCAGAGGGCACCUGGGUCCACGUGCCUGCGUGGACUCCUGAUGCACAAGCCCGUGAGACGGAUGCGACAGUCCUUCCCAGACUUGAGCCAAUUAGAAUUUCUCCUUCUCCAACAACCUGUUGAGCUUGGUGCCGCCCGCGGGCUUGCUCUGCCCUGGGUUGGAAGCCUUGACCUUCAUCUGUCAGAGGCCACGUACUCCUCCCUCAGAACACAACUCACGGCGCAUCCCGUGAGGGCCUCUGUCCAACUCACUGUCCCGUUAUUGGCAUGGGUCCUCCAUGAAACCAUUUUACGCUGUACAAAGUGAUCUAUGCCCAUGUUUGUCUUUGGGAUCAACUGCUUAGCUCAUGGGGGGCAGGCAGUGUUAGGGUGUAGAUGGGAGAUGUCCCCAAAAGCUUAUGGGUACACAAGGCGAGAACGUUCAGAGGUGAAAUGAUGGGGCUAUGGGAGCCUUAACCAGAUCGGUGAGUUAAUUCCCUGAUAUGGAUCAACUGGGCGGUGACAGAAGGCAGGUGGGUGUGGCUGGAGGAGGUGGGUCCCUGGGGACAAGCCUUUGGGGUUUAUAUUUUGUCCUUGGUGGACAGAGCUCUCUCUCUGCUUCCUGGGGACCCUAUCCUGAGCUGCUUUUCUUUGUCACACCCUCUGCCAUGAUGUUCUGCCUCCACUUGGGCCUCAUCAAUGGGCUGAAACUUCUGAAACCAUGAUCCCAAAGACAUUUUUCCUCCUCUAAUUGUUCUCCUCAGGUCUUUUUGUUACAGUAACGAAAAAGCUAACUGAAAUAGGCAGCAGGUGGGGGUGUGUGUAUCUUGCUAAUCCAGACCCCUGUGUGUCCUUAAUCCAAGCUUGUUGAAUAAAUGCUAUUCUAUAGAGAAACCAGAACCUGGAAGUGAUGAGUUCAGAUGCCAGAGCCAGGCUGGCUAAGUUUUAAAAUCUUAUCUCUGCCAUUGACUAAGCUGUGUGAUUUAGGCAAUUAACGCAGCCUCUCUGAGCCUUACUACUCACCCAACCUUUGAUGAGGAUUGAACCAUGCAACAAAUAUAAAAUACCCAGACAGCACUCGAAGCAUCGUCAGUACUCAUUAAACUGUUGGCUGCUACUUGUUGUUGCUGUUCUGCGGUUAUUUGGAAAAGCAGCAUUCUAGAGACAUGGCAAACCCAGUAUUCAUAGUUCUUAUUUAAGUGGAAUGCUUCCAACCCGUGUUUCAGUUUCCAUAUCUAGAAACCAAGGAUGGUUUCUCCAAAGACACCAGCUAACCAGUUUCUCUCUUUGUAUUUUCCAUCAGCUGUAAAAGCCUUGACUCACCCCUAAGUCACCACGGUAUUCCUCCCAGUCUGACCAGUUCAGCCUGUUGGGCACCCUGUCCCAUGAAGUGUGUUGGGAAAAAUAAACAGAACACACUGUGCCCUUCUUCCCCUCCCGUAGGCCUCACGGAGCUCCCGGUCUUGACACCUUUAUCAUUCCCUGAUGUCGGAGGAUGGCCGCUUCCUCCCACGGCUGUGGGACUUGAGGAGACCUGGGUUCAAAUCCCAGCCUCACCACGUCCCCACCUGGAUAACAUGAGUGGUCUGCCCUGCACCUGUUACACAGGGAUCCGGAUAGGUAGGCGUGUCUCUGUGUCCCUCUUGUCACAUGAGAUAACACACACAGAAAGUCAUCGGCAAAGUCCGCAUAUUCAAGUGAGUUAAAAGGUCUCUGGUUCUGACGUCGGCGUGCCGAACUACUUGGUUGGAAGAAGAAUCCCUCUGAUUCUCUUUCCUUCAUCGUCUCUGGUUCCCCAAAACAGUUUUUUUUCCAAGAAAAGUUUCCUCAAGGUCAAAGUGAUUCAGGCAAGGCUCCAACUGAACCCAAAGGUCAUUGGCCAUCUGUGGCUGGUGAGAAAGGGCAUUCUCUGGCGAGGCUGGCCGGUGACAGCUGUGUCACGUUCUUCUCUAGGACGAAGCCUAUUGCAGGUGCAUCUAGAAAGCUCCUGGGUCCCCACAUGCCAACGAUCAGAGGCCCACCCUCUGCCUUCUUGAGUCCUUGAUUCUUGACCUUUGAAAUGCCCUGGAGCCGGCCUGGCUGCCCUGGGCUCUGCUGAUAGAGCAGGGGCUGGGACGGCUCUGUCCCCAGAGUCCUUAUCAGUGCUCUGUGCAUCUGCCCCAGUCCUGAAGUCACAAGGGGACAGUGAGUUCUCACCUUGAUGAUGGAUGUUGCUAGAAAAGGGUGUUGAGAAUGUCAUUGUGGGAUGUGGGAGAGCUGGGGGGUCCUCCCUGGUGGGAGGAGAGAGCCCCUUGGUGCUCAGCUUACCUACCACAAAAGUGACUGGCGUCUCUGCAUCUGGGAGGACACUGUCCCCUGCCUGGGGGACCAGACCUCGGGAAGAGCUGUCGAAUCUCUUUGUGUGUGUGUGUUGUUUUUUUCCCCUACAUGAUUUAAUUCUUUUAAAAUUUUAUUUAUCUUCGACAUGAGUUCUAUUAUUAUUAUUUGCAUUACAAUUCUUAAUACACCUUUAUACCACAACUUAUCAUAUCUCUGUCUAUGAGAUACGUUGACACCAAAUUCACAUCUUCAUACAUGUAUUUUGUAUAACGAUGACCCUCUCCUUCCACCAUCCAUGCAAUUCCCCUUCCCCCUCCCUUUCCCUCCCACCCCUCUUCCCUAUCUAGAGGUGAUCUUCCUCCCAUGCUCUUCCUCCUUACUCCAUUUUGAGUCACACCCCCCCCCGCCGCUUAUAUCAGAGAAGAGGAUGUGGGGAAAAGGCACACUCAUCCACUGCUGGUGGGACUGCAAAUUGGUGCAAACAAUUUGGAAAGCAGUAUGGAGAUUUCUUGUUAAGCUGGGAAUGGAACCACCAUUUGACCUAGCCAUCUCUCUCCUUGGUCUAUACCCAAAGGACCUAAAAACAGCACACUACAGGGACACAGCCACAUCAAUGUUUAUAGCAGCACAAUUCACAAUAGCUAAACUGUGGAGCCAACCUAGAUGUCCUUCAAUGGAUGAAUGGAUAAAAAAAAAUGUGGCAUAUAGACUCAAUGAAAUAUUACUCAGCACAAAAAAUAAUAAGAUCAUGGCAUUUGCAGGGAAAUGGAUGGCAUUAGAGCAGAUUAUGCUAAGUGAAGUUAGUCAAUCCCCCCAAAACAAAUGCCGAAUGUCUUUGUGUGUUUUUGUAGAGCACUGACUGCAGCCCACUGUGUCCACUGCUCAGUAUAUGCUUGGUGGACCUGAGUACUCAUGCGUGGGGCUUAUUAUUAAAGCUGGGCAUGGAGAAGGGCAUUCAGAAAACACACCCAUCACCAGAGAGCCUAGGUGAGUUGGUUUCUGCUGAAACUAACUUGAAUGAGCACCAGUCAGGGGCUAAGAUUCUGUUUUUGCAGACGACGGCUGGGGUUGUGCAAGGUUGUGUCACACCCAAUGAUCUUGGGGUCAAGAUCUAGCGAAUUUGGCUCUCAGAGUCCUGAGUUAGAGCCUGGAACUCAAAGUUGCUGGUGUCUGGUGGGUAAAGGGGAUUCAUGAAGGUCGCAGCAGGUUAUAUUCUGCCCUGGGGAGUCCAGAACACCUGAGCACCCAUUUUAUCAUUUCACGUUCUCUAAAACUCACCAACACCCGGUGACAAAGGAGCAGCACAUGACCUUUGACCCAGUGCCCUUGGUUACCUACCUUGCCAAGUACCUGCCCCCAAUCUGCCCUCAAAAAGGUAUUUUUAAAUAAUCAUGGCAAUAUUAUUUCUGCUAUUAUUGUGCAGAACAGUGAUGGACUUUUUGUUACUAUUAGUUUUCCGAAGGGUAAUGACCAUGGCCUUGGCCAUGUGGGGAGCGAGUGGGCCACAGGCGCCUGCUCUCCCAGGUCAGUAGCUGGAGAAGAACUUGCUGCUUUGGCACCCCAAACGGAGGCCAGAAGAAGGGUGCUGACAUGAACGGGGCACAGAGCCCAGAGUUUCUGGGGCUCCGUCUAAUUAUACCUGGCAGCUCGUUGCCCCGCCUCCGCCCCCACCUCCCAGGAGCCCCUCUGCCUCCUGAGCAAGCUGGGUUUGUGUCGUGAAAUGUCCUCCUGCCCUCUCCACUCCUCCAUAGUGCUUGGGUAGCAGGGGGAGUCUCAGCCGGGCCGGGGGAGGGAGACGGGGGCUCCAGGGGACGUUAUGGCUGUGGGUGGACAGAAGCUGCUGAGCUCUGGAUUGGAAAUAGAAUGAUCAGGAAUGCUCAGCUGUCCGAGGGUCAGACUGACCUCGUCCCAGGCCAGGUCACACAUGUGCCUCUGGUGGCCACUCACUCACGCCAGCAGAAAUGUGACACGAGGCACCGUCACCUCUCUGGGGAGGGCAGCGCGGGGGAGUGUCACACAGCCUGCUCAGUUAAUGAGCUGGAGUCUUCCCUGGGCCCCUGCUGACCCACUGUCCACCCCUCUCCAUCCUGUCCCCUGCCAUGGGGCACUGACUUCUGUUACUGCAUGGAUAAGCCCCAUGGCCCCUUGGCUCCCUGUUGGGGUCAGAGGGAGGGGAACGCAGGGUUGGGCAUCACCCCCAGCUCCCUGCCUGCAGGUGGCGCUCUGCUCCUCCAGGGACUGCUCCCGCCCCUGCCCCCUCCCCUGAGGGGGAAGUUUUCUAAUUUCCUUGGUGUGAGAACUGGGACUCGGGGUACCAUUGACUGGGUGGCUGCCGUGGCACAGGGCCGGGCACCCCACUUGGCAGACUUUCCUUCCUUCGGUCUCUGUAAUGACCCUGGGAAGCGGUUUCUUCUUGAGCCCAUUUUACAGAUGAGGGCCCUGAGGCCGAGCAGGGUGAGGUCAUCUUCCCAAGGCCACCCAGGGAGUCAGAGGAGCAGGACCCGUCCCACUCAAAGCCUGAGUCCUUGGCCACGAGUGCCUUCUGCCCACUUCAGGACACUCUCCCUGGAGGCCCCAUGGACCUACUGUGCACCCCUAUGGUGCUAAGCCCGAGAGAAGCAGCCUGUUGACCACAUUAGUUGCCUGGACGCAGGGCCCAGCGAGACUUCUGCUCCUCCCCUCGCCAUUCCUCCUCCCACCCUCGGCCAGUGGCUGUCCAGCCACCUCCAGCACCAACUGCCAUCACAGGGCAGAUCCACAUGUCACCCCAGAUGGGGGCUCUCCUCCCCUUCACUGGGGCUGGGUGGUCCCAGGAGGGCCUCUGCCUGUUCCCGAGGCGGCCAGGUCGCAGUGUCCCCAGCACGGAGAUGAGGUUGGCAUUUGGGGACCCCUGCCUUCUUUGAUUUCUUAUCAACCUUCAAGACGUUGGCCCCAGGAAUGAGCUUGCAGACCUCCAGGGACACGGAGGUCACUUUCCAGGGGCUCCAGCUGCUGCUGGGACAUGCACUGCUUGUUGGGCCUGGGCCUGGCUCUAUAGGCGGGUCCUGCUCAUGACCCAGGGAGAAGGGACAGAAGGCAGGCCCAUCCCUGGGACACCAGGGCUCCUCUGAUGAUGACUUGACUCUGGGCGUCCAUGAGGGUCUUCAGGUCCUUCCUUGGACGGCUCAGCAGUCUAGGACGCUCUGCCUCCGGCUGCUCCUCCCUUCGGGUCAAGGUCAAGAGCCUCUGUCUGGGUCUCCACCAGCCUUUCCCAGCUCCACUCCCGUUUUCGUCUCCCGCGGCAUUUCCCUCCUGGCCUCUCAUCACCGAGAACCUGGACUAACACACGCACCAGCACCAUGUCCCACGACUGUUGGGGUGUUCAGAAAUUGAUUCACAGCAGCUGGUUUGGAAGCCACAAAACCCUGGGGUGUCACGUGAAUCUUUCCGAGUUCCUACCUGUCAUUUCUUCCUUCCCUCCAGAUUGCUGCAGGGGAGGGCCACCUUGGAGGGGCAUGUCAAAGCCGCCCCAGGCCACCUAGAGGAAGCUUGGUCGCGGGACCUGUACGCUGGUGAUGUCCCGCUGGCCGACUCCACCUCUCUGAUCUCCAAGUUCCUCACCUGUGAGCUGAUGUAUGGACCCCUCCCUGCUCUCUGGGUGGCUAAGAGCAGGUGUGCGUGGGCUUUGCACUUUGGCUGGCCAUCAGGCAGCUCUCGGGACAAGGGGACAACUCGGGGCGCGGUUGACUCACAUCCCUGUUAACGGGCUGUUCUGUUUCUAAUGAGCUGGGCCCAAAUGCCAAAACUUCUCGAGUUCCCAGGCUGCUUCCCACCCCCAGCCGUGUCGGAGGGUUGAGAAGGCUGAGGUUCCAGUCCUGAGGGUACGGCUGAGCCUGAGCCUCAGUCUGUUCAUCUGUAAAGUGGGGGGUUAUCUCUAUAGCACACACCACCCAGGGUUGUGGGGGGUCCGAGAGGUCAGUAAGGACAGCUGCUUCGGUGCUGUUCUUGCCUGCUGUGGUCCGUCAUUUCUCUGGGAACGUCAUGAAGCUCUGAUUCCUGGACAGAGCCGACUCUAGGGACUGAGAGUUUGGGAGCGACCUUCCGUCUCGGCUGAGAGAGGGCAAGCUGACCCACACGUGGCUGAGCGUCUCCUUUCCUUUUGAAAAUACAGAAUAAUAAGUCCUGAACGACCCCCUUACUGAUCUGGCUUACCGAGGCCAGUAAACCUUGAGUGAUUCGAGGUGAGUGUCCCUAAUGUCAUUACUGGGGCUCCUCCUCCCAUGAUCUUGGGGUUGUUUUGUCUUUAUUUUGAACCCCAGCAGCUCUGUUUCCUGAUUUGCGUAGACAGGAAAGAGCACAAAGGCUCUGGUCUCUCUUGGUCUCUGAGAUCUCAAAGCUCCUGUGAGGACUCAUGGGUUGGCACGGCCAGGUUCAAAGACUGCCCAGGCCAAGAGCACUCCAAAGGCCACCUGAAGCCCAGGAACUGAGGACCUGAGUGACAGGGAUCAGCUGCUAAAAGCUCGUUUGUGCCGGACCUGGUGCGGGCUGUUCCCUGUGGACCCUUUCACAGGGUUCUCUCUGCCAGCCUCUGAGGCGGGUCACAGGACCCCAGCUCGCUCUCUGCACCGGAGAGAAGACUGGUCUUCGGGAGGCACAGGUGUUAGCCCAGUCCACCCGGCUUCCGAGGCUCGCUUGUGACCUCAGGUGGGUACGUUUCCACCCACCUGAGUGUGGGUUUCGCCCGGAAUUCACUCUGCAAAGACUCAUUUUUAUCAUUGUCCAAGUUCACCCAGCUUGGAUGUGACCAAGCUCAGACAUUCCAAAGCUUGUGCCCUUAAGCACCCUCUGACCACACCCAGCUUACGUCACAUUCUCCUGCUGCCUCCUGGCACCCUGUGUGUUAAAGCUGGGGUCUUCAGUGAGCCCUGGGAGCUUAGUGUGGAAAGGUGGGUGUCCCCCCCGCUCCCCACUCCCCAGCCUGCUACCAGGAUGUGGUGGAAAAUGUAGGAUAUGGGGGCUCAUUGGAGGAGGAAGGAUAUGUCUGAGGGGGUGCUGGGACCCUGCCCAGCUUCUCUCUCUCUCUGCUUCUGUACCCCAUGUGCUGAGCUGUGUCCUUCCGCCCUGAUGUCCUGCCUCACCAUGAGCCCAGCAACAAGGACCCAGUGACCACGGCUGGCAGCCUCUGAAACCGUGAGUCCGACAGACCUGUCCUCCUUGAAGUCUCUUGCUUGGGUUCGUCAUGGUGAUGCAAUGCUAUCACGCGGCAUUUCUGUGCCAUCACUCUAGACAGAGCUGGGAUAUUGUAUCGGACUUUCUGAUGUGAAGAUUUAUCUGCCUUACUAUGCUGUGUGCUCUUAAGGGGAGGGAGCACAUCUCUGUUUUGUUCAGGAAACAUCCGUGGGCUGAACAAGUUGUGCCAAGUUUUCUCUUCCCGAAUCACUGUGGGUUCUAUGAGUUGGGAAAAGUGGCCUUUCCCAUCAGAGGAAUCCGAUGCGACUAAUCAACGUCAGUCAGACCAACUUGGAAUCGAUCGCCCACCCAUGUGAAUCCUUUUGGAACCUCUCAACAGAUGUUGCCUUCACCGAGUUGAUUUUCACAAGGUCUUAAUAUUGUACCCAGGUAUCAGGUCAAAUUAUCAGAUUUAUCAGGUCCCUUCAAGGAAUUCGGGGUCUCACGUGGUUACUCUUCUUGCUUCAUUUGGCUUUCUUCUUCUGUUUCCUUGAUUACUUCUUUUGACCAAAGUUGUGCUCGUGUUUGGAUGAGGCGUGGGGCAGACUUACUUCCCUAUUUUCUCUCUAUUGCCCCUUUCUUCUUGAGAGGAGGGUCCAUGUUUUGUUCAGAGCAGCAGUAAGUCCAGACCCAGCUUGCAGAUCCUAAAAGGUCUCAGUGCUGUUCUCCAGUUUUCCUUGCGGCUGAGACAGUAUGUGAACCAGGCCUGUCUAAAAGGUCUGUUCCCAGACAUUCUGGGGGAACAUUUAUUCUCCUGGAUGAGGACGUAACUGCAACACUCUCCCCUUGUUUCCUAUCUUGAAUUCAGAUAUGAUGGCUGGAGCUGCAGCUGCUGUUUUGUCAAAACUCCGUCAAGAUGUAGUUGAGGUGUGGAAUCAGAACCUUCACCUGCCUUCUGCAGGAUGAUUUAUGUUACGUGAGAAAAGGGAGUCCCUGUCAAAUUAAGGCACUGCAGACAGCUUUCCUAUACUUGAAGUUGAAUGUGUUCCUAAUGGAUAAAAGGACAUUUCCAAACCUCUUUUUCAUAUGCAAUCUACAGUUCUGAUCAUUAUUGGUAUUUUACUGACCCAACCCUUAAAGACUUCAGGACCUUUUAUUCUGUGCCAGGGGCAAUAUUGCUGUGCCCAUUUGAAAGAUGGUAAUGCAGAGGAGUGAAGAACAGAGAUUCGCCAUUCAAACUUUCAGAGCGAAUCCAAGAGCCCUGAGGCACACACUGUGGCUUCCAUUCUGAGACCACGCGCUGUCCCCGGUUGGCAGAGCGCACCGUCACAUCCCGUAGGAGGAUGAAAGCCUGUCUCCAUGCUGCCAGAACCUCAGACGGCGGUUCCAGGGAGUCUGAGGGCUGAAACCCAGCACUUAAGACUUCCAGGCUGUUCUUCUGGCUUGGAAACUUAUGCCGCAGCUUCGAGAUUCUGGAAUCCAUCACACAGAGACGUCCAGCUGUCUGCAGGAGCUGCUGUGUCUCCACAGAGGUGGCCACGCUCUGAGCCCCUCACGGGGCCUGAGUCCUGCUGGGGCAGGGACAUCUGACCCGUGGAGAGCGUCCUGAAGGGCGAGGUGGAGGAGGAAGGUGGACCAGGAGAUGUCAAGACACUUGAUUCCCCAAGGAAACCACCAGGUCACCGGUUCCAAACGCUGGGCGCAGCAGAGCUUUUUCUGACAAAGUGACUGCGUCUGUCCCUCCUCCCAAGUCUAACCUCUGACGCAGGCACAGCAUCCUUUCACUUAGUCAAAGCCAUUUUAACUCAAUUUGGUUGGCUAAAAAUAUCUUGGUCCAAAACCUAAUCCCAACAUCAGAAGACAUUUUAUUUUCAGAUUUGUGAUUUCCUUUUUGUUUUGUUUUUUCCCCCAAAGACUUUACUUGUGUCUUAGUUUGAUGAAGAUGGGUCAUUCCCUUUCUCUUUUUUACUAUUUCUAUAAGUUUCCUGUCCCUUAGAGUCAAUUUUAAAACAAAAAGGUAACACUUCUAUAGCCUUGGCCAUAUGCUAGGCACAUGUAUUAACUCAUUUAAGUCUCAAAACACGUAUGGGGUAAGUACUAUUAUUUCGCCCCAUUUUACAGAGCAGGAAACUGAGCACAGAGAGGGUAACCAACAUACCCAAGGGCAUUCAGCAAGCCAGUGGCAAGGCAAGCAGUCUGACAGCAGCUGAUGAGAAUCAUACAGUAAAAAUAGCCAGCAUUUCUGAGUACUUAGCUCACAUCAGACUCUCCAGGAAGGCUUCUGCAUACAGCACCUUCUUUAAUCACCCCUGUAACCUGUGGGGUGCUAAUGAUCAUCAUCACCAUUUCACAGAUGAGGGACUUGAGGCUCAGCCACCUCCCUGAGUGGGUCCCUGAUUUAAUAAAACGCAGACACUUUCCAGCGUGAACGCCCUCUGCCCUCUGCCCUCCACCCGCCCUGCUUUGCUGGGCACUGCUGCUCACUGCAGACCCCUCCAGGGUCUGAAUUAGAUGCUCCCAGCUUGGUUCCUUUAUCACCCAAAACUACAAUAGCCACCUUCCUUAUCUCUCUCCCCCACCAGCCCAGGAGCUCACUAGACAGCACAUAUUUUUAGUAACUCAAGUGUUAGAAACACCAAAAAUCAUAAAACAAAAAAUAAAUAGAAAGCCCACCCUGCGUUCCUGGAGACAUCUCGGAGUCCCUAGUUUAUAUUUUUAGACACAGAUGUGUUACAGAGAGAUAAAAUACAGACAGACGGACCUCAGGGCUUAAGCGUGCGAUUCAGUGGUGUUCCGUUCCCAGAACAGAACCCACGUCCGUCUCCAGAACCUCUCCAUCACACCCCGCGGGAAUCUGGGUCCACUCCCUGAAGAAGGGUCAAAGGAGACCAGCGGCAGGAAAAUGGGUGGGGCUGGAGGACACUGGGUUAAGGGACACACGACCAACUCAGAAGGCUUGGGCGCGGGUUUUCUCUCAUUAGUAGAAGCAAAGAGAGGGAAAGGGAAGGGAGAGGUGGGGACAGAUCCCCUGAAAAUCAAAGAGAGAUCAGUAGAGGAAAGGGACAGGGCAGGGAGGGGAGGACAGUAUGUUGUUGGAUCCUGCAACUAUGUAAGGGUGGACCCCACCGUCCCGGACAACUACGAUGCACCGAUAAAAAUAAGGGAAAAAAGAAAGAAGGAAGGAAGGAAGGAAAGAAGGAAAGAAAUCUGUGUGCAUUGACCUGCACCCCCGGCCCUCGGUCACCACUGCUCUAUUUUCGGACCCUGAACUGGUCCAUUCUAGGUACUUCGUAUAAGUGGAACCAUAAAAUAUCAGUCCCUCUGUGUCUGUCGUCUUUUGCUAACCAUGGGGUUGUCAAGGGUCACCUGUGUCUGGGAUUCUGUUCCCGACUGAGGCGGAAGGAUGCAGGGUUUGGGGACCUCACUCUGUCAACCUGUUGGUCAGCCGCGGGCACUGGGGUUGCCUUGCCCUUUGGCUGUUGGGAACAGGCCGGGAGGACGUCUGUGCUGGGGUUGCUGCUUUCGGUCCCUUUGGGUAAGUUCCCAGGGGUGGAUCCACACCCGGGUGAGGUGACAUUGAUUGAUUCGCGAGGUAACAUUAGGCUUGGCUUAUUUGAGGACCCUCCCUGGCUUCCAGCAGGGGCUGUGCCCUCUGGGGUUCUCACCAGCCACGCAGAGGGUCCCAGUUUCUCCACAUCCUCACCGAUGCUGGUCGUUUAUCCUGGGAGCUCCGGGGAGACUCGGGGGUCUCCACGUGCGGUUCCCUGUGGCUGGUGCUGCUGAGUGUCCUCUUGCUGCUUCUGCUCUUGUGACAGGAGAUCCACGCAGGAAACCAGAGAGAUGUCCAUCCAAGCCCUCUGCACCCUGAUUUAGAAAGAUAAUUUUUUUAAAAACCCCGAAGUGUACUUUAAAUAACAACUUUAGCCAUCUUAGCAAACAAUUGGAGGGUCAAGGAGGACAGUCUGGUAGACCAUGUGGAUUCACUUCCAUGGCUGCUGUAACCAUGACCAUGAACUCCACCUUCACCCAGCCCUCUCCCUGUGAGUACCACAUCACUUCCACAAGGACGCUCCCCGUGCAUUUAGCCCCAACCCUGACCCCCGGGACUGUCUCUGUGCCUGUGUUUGGUGGUGCUGGGAGGGAACCCGGGACCUUGCACUUGCUAGGCAGGUGCUCUCCCAAGGAGCCACACCCUCAGCCUGAAAUUGCUCCUGGGUCCGUGUUUCUUACACCUGCAGAGACCCUAUGUCCAAACAAGGUCAUACCUAUGCACACCAGAGGGAGGACUGGGACACGUCCAUUUGAGGGAUACACUUCGACUUACUGCCUAGCUCCAUAACCAACAUACAGAACAGUUCUUCCCAUGAGCACCCCAAUUCCACUAUAUUUUUUUCUUUCAAUGAAAACAAAAAUCAAAAUGGACCCUCACUGUAGAACCCUCCUCGUGCUCGCCGUGAAAGAUCAUGUGCACCUUUCGCGUGUCCAUAAAUUCAGAUCCAAGUGUCCAUCGUCAUUUAAAAUGAGUGCACAGCAGCGAUGUCAGUUUUGUGAAGGACCGGCACUGAUUGAUUGAGUUCUACUGGACUCCUCCGGGCCCAGCCCACUGCUCAGCAGGAGGAGGGGCCUGAGACCAGCUUGAGGAGUGAGUGGGCAGAGGGCAGAGCCUCGGAGGCCUGGGAGGUACUGCCAGGCUGGGCUCUCGGCCUCUCUGGGGCCAUGUCCACAGUGUCCAGCUCCUCAUCUUCCAGGCGGAAUUCUCUCCUCACCUCCUCUGAAAACCUCCAGUGACUUUGAAGUCAGCUGCCUGGAGGGUCUGAGAUAUGUGGUCCCCCCGUUGGGGGCUCUCCCUAGUGGGGCGGAGGGACUAAGCCGACCCUCUCCAGGUUUUAUAAGCUGAUAGAACAGGGCUGUCAAAUGCUUUUUAUGGGAGAAGAAACAGGAAGAUGGUUUGUUUUGCAGACAGCGGGUUAUUGGGUAAUUACAUUUUUAUAGAGCUGUUGUGGGACAGAUCACGGUCCUGCUGUCCCCUUUGAUGCUAAAAGGCAGACGGCCCCAUAAAGAUCAGAACAAGGGAAGGUGAAAGGGGUCAGGGUCAGAGCUGCCCCGUGGGGUCAGCUUCUGCCUGGAAGUCCCCCCCUCCACCAGGUGGCCCUUGCGGGAAGUGCCCUCCUCUUGCCAUGCGUGUGGUGAGGGUCAUGUUCAUGCCCACCUCUCCCACCUCUUUUUCUGACUGCAGACAGAGAAAAGGAGACAGAGGAAAGAUAUUCACGGAACAGGCCCAACCGAGGGCGCCAACAGAAUUAGUUCCCUCACUCGCUCACCCACCCCUUGAGCCAUGCACGGAGGUGUGUGGACGCUUGCUGGAGAGUCUGAGCCACGUCACCUCUUUUCCCAAAGGGCCCCAUAUUUGUUCAUUCGGUGCAUAUGAGUUGAGGGCCUACUACGUGCCCUGCACUCUGGCUGUAACGUUCAAGACAGCAGAAGCAACGGAGAAGGCCGUCCAUGGAGAACUGCACCCAUCUCAAAUACAAAACCAGGCAUAGGGACAAUCUGGGGCGGGUGGGCCCCCAGGAGCCCCCAUGAGGCACGUCAGCUGAUGGGACAGUGGCAGAUGAGCCAGUCCUUGAUAGACAGAAGGAGUUGCCCGGGCCGGGGUGGUGGAGCCCCUGGUGGGGAGAGAACAUUCUAGAUCAAGGGCGAAACUCCACGCAGGCUCCUUGGAACGGGAGAGCAUGAAGCUUCUAAGAAGCUGUCCCUGCUAGUGUGGCUCAUGGGGAAGCCCAGCCUGCACGCUCUGCCUGGGGCCGUGACCAGGAACCCUGUUUUCAGUCCUUGUCUCUGGUUCCAAGAUGACCUUCCUCUGCAGAGGCCGAAGGGGCUGCUGGGCCGUCAGCCAGAAAUUCAAACUGAAGUCCUGUGGGGCACAAGUUUGGAGAAGCCUCUCAAUCUUCCUCUUUCUUCUGGCUCUGGAAGUUUCUAGGAGGUUCAUUGCUGACCCUUUUCCUGGGAGGUUUGGAAGAGGGCCGAGGGCCUGGGCUUUUACUGGUCCCACCUGGAGACCCGUGUUUGGAAUCAAGCUCUUGUUUAAAGAUGACUGUGUCUUCAGGACCCUCCUCCCCACCUCCCUGGUUUCCUGCAGGAGACAGGCACCUUAGUGAAAGGUGAUUUAUUUGGCUGUUCAGCCCCUUCCUCCUGUGUUGGGUUUCCCGCUGAGACCUCCAGCCAGAGUCUGAGGCUCCUUUCUUAAAGAGUCCUCCUCCGCCCUUGGUGGCUCUGUCCUGCUUUCCUGCUGUGAGCUGGGAACCCCUGCGGCAGCUUCCCCCUGGGGUCUUCCCCUCCUCUCACUGUGAGAUACGGGGCCCUCCAGAGCAUGGCUUGCUGGGACUCAGGGGGACCCAGCCCUGACUGUGCCCAGAUCCUCGGUGCUGGACACCGGGCAGCAGAGGCCCCGGGAAAGGGUGAGGCCUAGACAGUUAAGCUGAGCUUCUGGGGGAUCCGUGCCCCUCAGCUGUCUUGGUGGCAAACAGGCCUCAGCCCUCACUGAGGUGGGGGCCAGGACCAAGGACCCAGGAGUGGUUCUGCUCUGACCCUACUGUCCUCAUUGCCACCAUCACUCACUCUGUGCCUGUUGCCUGGAACACCCCUCUCUCCCGCUUUUGGCACAGCUACACCUAGAAAGGGUGCAAAAUGUUGGGUGACCUGGAGGCAGGGCUGAGCUUGGUGUGUCCUGGGGUGGGGGCUGCAGAUAGCCACCCCUGGGUGAGGUGGUGACCAAUGGACAGGUUCAAGCCACAGUGACAGGGUCUAGUUCUGAAUGGAUGCUCACUGCAGUGAGGGCCAUCACUCCUUCCUGUCAUGCUCAACAUGCUGGGCAAGGGUUCUGCGUUGGCUGCAUUUCAUAGAUGCCAAAACAGAAUCACAGAGAGCUCAGGGUCCCACCGUGACUGAGGGGCUGAGCUGGGAUUCCAUCCCGGUUGCUAGCACCCAGGCUCUCUGUGCUUUCCAGAAUGGGGUGAGGAGCACCAUGAACUUCACCUUCCUGAGCCUCAGUUUUUGCAAAAUGGGUAGGAUAGACAUCAUGCUAGCCUUCUUUCGUGGAAAACACUGUUGGCAGAACCCAGUGAAAUAAGUUGCAAAAUGUGUGUAUAAUAAACAAAUCAUUAAAAAACCCAGCUCUGAUUUAUUGAACACCCAGGGGAAGAGAAUCCCUGCUCAUUGGGUUUUGUUUAAUGCCAGUGACUCGGAUGCUAUUGUUAUCUCGAAGAGGCAAUGAUCCAAAAUUUGAAAUGAAUUCCUACAAAGGAUCUCAUUGGAUUCUUUUUUUUUUUUUUCACUAAGGCUUCCCAAAUUCUCUGUUCUCAGAUUUCUCAUCUCUAAUAGACAUGAUAUCUGCUUCCUAAAGAGGUUGUGAGGAUGCCCCGCGGUCACCUGGGUCCCCUCCUAGGAAGCAAUCAGUUACCUAGUUCUUACCUGUUCUUCCAGAUACUGUAUGCAAAUAAUUACAUGCAAAUAACUUACCUAGUAUCAGAUAUUUGCCAUGCAAAUGCUGUCAGAUGAUAUUCUUGCUCUUUUCACAUAAAUAUGUCACUUAGAGAUGAUUUCAUCCUGAUACAUGUCAGACCACUUUGUCCUUAUUGAAUUGCUCCGUGGUAUUCUAUUGUGUGGCUAUUUCAAGAUUUUUAAAUAAAAUCUUCUUAUUAACCAGUACUGCAGGGAAUUCAUUGUAUGCAUGUCUCCUGGCACAUAGGUGAGGACCUUGUUUGGGUAAAUACUCUGAAGAGGACUUGGUGGGUCAGGUUAUACAUAUAUUUAAAUUUUUGAUUGACAUUGACAAAUUGCACAUCAAAGAGAUGGAGCCAGUUUAUAUCUUCCACCAGUAGGUGCGUGAGAGUGCUUCUUUGUCGACAAGCCCGCCAACAUAGUAUUUCGAAUGUAUGCCUAAGAGAUAGAAGAAUAUUCCUACUCCCAGUUUCUGUAAUAGCAGCUAGAAACAAACUAAAUGCCUGUUGGUGAGAAAGUAAAUUUAAAAAGUGUUGUAUUUGUAAAUAAGGAGACAUAAUGUGUUGGUCAAAAAAUGGAGGUGGGAAAUAAUAUAUGGUGGCCUUCCAUGAAGCUGGUACGGUUGGCAUGAAUCCUGCCAGUAGCCCUCCUGGGUACAUCUUUGGUACCCACCAACUGGAGCCCCCAGUACCAUCUCCAUCACAGACGGGAAGUACCAGGGAUCAACACUCUUGCUGAGCAAUCCUGCACCUUGGACUGACACCCUGGCUCCCUCACUGCUUGGGGAGGUCACUCUGAGGCUGUUGCUUCCACAUCCUGGGCUUUUAUUGGUUGUCUCUCCUUCUUCGUCUCAUUUCUUCACUUCCUCAGAAAAUUAUCUGUGGGAGAAUCCUUGUUUCAAGUCAGUGGUUGGAACAAUCCAAAUAAAAUUGAUUGGCAAUGUCAUAUUAGUUUUUUUUUUUUUUAAAAAUGGUCCCAAGAAAUUGCAUGCAACCUGACAUCCCUAUUUAUUAAAUUAAAAAACUAAAAUGAAUAACUAUUUUUAGGAAUAUGUCUUAGAUGUGAAAAGACCCUAGGGAACAUGCAAGCAAGGUGUUGAUGAUCAUGAGAUCCGGGGUGAUGGUUUCUCGAGGGGCCCAUGGGCUGGAUGUGAGGCGCUGUAGAGCCUCAGUUUUUGUGGGGGUGGUGUUGAGUUCCCGUAGCUAAUGACAUUAUUUUAAAAAUGACUAAUAGAAGCAUGAUUCAAAGAUAAGAGUGUGUCAGACCAUACUGUAUCCAAUUCUAUGCAAAUAAUCAAUGCAAAGAAUCCAAGUUAUCAGGGAACGGUACUUACAUUUCCUGAGUUCUGUGACAUAGGCUGAGGAAAGAGGAUUUUCAGGAAAGCAGUUUACAUUGCGUUGACUUGAGCAGGAAUUUAAUGCACCCUUCCUUUCUCUUCCCUAAAGGACAUAAUGCAGACGCCCAUGAAUAGGGAAUAAGAUACGUGAAUGACUGCCACUCUUUAGGGCCCGCAUGAAGCUGCCACUCAAUCAAAUUAGAUUGACCCAUUAAUAAGCAAAGAUGUUCUUGAUUCACUAUUAAAGAAAAAGGUUGAAGGACAUGUUUUACUUGAUCAUAUUUUUGAAGAAUUUUUUAUAUAAAAUAUCAUUUAUUAUAUAUGCCCUAUAUAAUUACAUAUAUAAAUUAUCUAUGCAUAUAUUAUAGGACAUAUAAUAAAAUGUAACCACACUUUAUCGAUUCAUGAAUCUAUGUGAUUGUAUACUUCACUGCCUAGAAAAAGAUUUGAAAAUAACUUACUUGGGGUUGUUAACAGUGCCUUUUCUACGGAAUUAAGUUAUGAAAAAUUUCUAAGUUAAGCCUAUCUAUGAAGAUGAAAUAUUUUUAGUCAGAAAAACAGAUGAAAAUGAAGUGUCAAAAAUAACAUGUUACUUAAGUGUAUACAAUGACAGGGAGUUCUUUUACCUGUAUUGUUACUGUGUGGCUUGUAAUCAUUAUUUACUUGUGCGGUUACCUUAUUGCUACGGAUGUUGUUGUUGUUGUUGUUAUCAUUACUAAUUAUUCUACUUGUGUGGUUACCUGGUUGCUAUGGUGAUGGUGGUGGUGGUUAUUAUUAUUUACUUACUUGUGUGGUUACCGGGCUGCGCUCUGCCCCAUGCACCCUCUGCCGUUCUUGCUCAGUCCCCACGGGAUAAAUCCUCAGUGUCUUUUGAAUCCAGCUGCUUCCCUCUUCCAGCCUCUGCGUUUUAUCACCAUGACUCUUCUUCCCCAUCUUAAAAGCUCUUUGAAGAGCGUCUUUUCUCCUCUGAGCUUGCUGCUUCUUGCCUCUCGCCUGGCCAACUCCGGGUCCUGUGGUCUACAGUUGCUCUUGUUAUUACUAUUAUGUUUUUAAGACCGGUUGCUAUGAAAUUCCAUGUUCCUCUGUGACAUAGAUAAAUGGGAGCUGCCUGGCUGGGCCCAUCUAUAGCACGAUGACAGGGUUCUGGGAGAUUCUGCAGGGGGAGAAAUCUUCUGCCUCUGACAUUUGAAAACCCAGGAAUGUAGACAUUUUUACAAAAUAAAAAGCAAUGACAGAAGGAAAUGAAAACAGUCUUGUUUUGCGCCAAUGGCUUCUUCUCUCCUGCCUCAUCUUGGCUGAGUGGUUUUUCUUAUUUUUUUUCCCUUCCUAUGUUCCUUGGAAAACUGUUCUCCUUCUGACUCAGUUUGGGGACAAGGGAUUUUUCAAUAACUGAAAUGCUGAGAAGAUUCAGGAUAGACCAUAUUUCAUCUGUAUUUUAAAGGCACCACGGGAACCUUGCUGCUGUGGAGCAGGAGUUUUGGUGCAUCUUAUCCAGAGCCUGGGGCCCUUUGGUGCUGAGAAAAUGCUGAUUUAUACAUAGAAUGUGCUCUUGGAACCCCUGAUCACAGCAGGCUAGGUAUGCAAA